rnacentral:lncRNA from 1 species
GGAAGAUAGUUACGGUGGCUUACUUCAUGCUGAAAAAAGGGUUAUCCUCAAAGAGAAAAUUAAUAUUUGAUCUCAACUUAUUAAUGAAACGUGGCAAGAUUGCUGGCAAAACCGCCAUCCAAAAUCUCAUGUUCCACGACCAUAAUAAUAAUAAUACACAAGGCCAUCACUCAUCGUCCAAAGACUACUACGAGUUCAGCUGCAGUAACAACUCCGCUUUUCACCUCCCAUUCCACCUGAACAAGCGCAUUAAUAAGCAAAGUCACCUUGAACAUGUCAUUGAAGAACACGAAGAUGUUUCAAUGAUGAAUGCUGCUGUCUUUAAGGCAUUGGAGAUGAUACAGAGUGAAACAGCAUCACCUGCUUUGCCUGGAUUCGGGAGGACACCUACUGUGAGGCAAUUAAGGAUCACUGACUCUCCUUUCCCUUUAAGAGAUGGAGCAGAUGAGGGUGACAUGAUGAGCCACGUAAACGAGAAAGCUGACGAAUUCAUUUCUCGAUUCUACAGAGAUUUGAGAAGAGAGGCUUCUGUUUUUGCUUAAUUAAUUUGUUUAUUGGGCUUUAGUUGGCAAUUUUUCCUUGCAGAAUUCAUACAUGCUAUAGUGGCCUGUGUAAUAAUGUCCAAAGAGCUUACAUAUAUGCAGAUUGGAAGCUUUGAAUACUGAAAAUUAUUUUUAGGGUUUCCAUUCUGUCUUCGGAAAUAUUUUUAAUAAUAAUUUCUUUUUAUGAAAUUAUGAAAAUUAUUAUAAUAUGAUGAUAUAUAACCGCUUGUUUCUUGCUACGGUAUAAUAUUUUCAAGUCCUGAAAUUUUACAUCCACCAAUCCUUUCAUACUUCAUUUGAUUAUCCGUUUGUUGUUACCUUUUAUUUUUGCUCAAAAAUAAGAAGAGCAAAAAGUUAAAGUUAACAUGGAGUAGGUUAGCAAGUCAAAAAUCAUUCCUUUUUUUGAAUCCAAGAAGUUUGUAUUCUUUGACUGGAGUAGAUUCUCUGCGUACAUAAUUUUUGUUACCUGGAGUUGGAAAAGAAUACUUGCUAACUAAAGUUAAUUUCAUGUAAAAUGAAAAAUUAAUUAACCUGGAAAUUCAUUUACACAGUAUACACGUCGACCCUUGUUUCUUAUUUUGUUAACAUAAAAUACUCCAAAUUAACUCUAAUUGCUGCCAGGACAAUUGUACAAUGUCAAAGAGAAAUUAAUGGCCCGAUCAAUAACUAAUCACGACACUAAUGAAACAAAUUGGACCAAUGUGAUAUUCCACCAAUUUACCUAAAGCAAAAUUGUCUUAUGUUCAUAAGUGGAAACAUGUUGUAGUAUUUAAUUAAUCUGUGGCUUUCUCUUCUAACUUUACUAAUAUCUGUUUAUAAUUAAGUAUUCUGUUAUAGUGGGUUGUAAAGAUUUAAGAUACUCAACUAAUACUCAACUAAGCAGGGUAGUUACUUAGUUGUUAGAAGAUCACAAGUAGUGAGUUAGUUAUAAUUAACUCAAUUAAUUCUCUACAUAUAGCUUCAUUGUACUCAUUGUAAAGACACAAUUUUAUCAUUCAAUACAAUCCAGUGAUCUUUCUUCUCUGUUUUUCUUUCUUCUCAAAAUGAUCAAGGUUCAUGAUUCAUCUUCAUCUUGAUUACCUUCAUGGUAUCAGAGCGUGAGGUCCUGGUGUAACAAUACAACUCAAUUCUAAGAAUUCUGAGUUCUUCUGUCUAUUGAUAAAUAUUUACACAAAUCCAACUCUUAGAGUGGAUUUGGCUGUUGCUUUUGAAGUUACUGAUUCAGUUGAUUUCUGAGGAAUCAACCCUAUACAUUGAUAUCUGAUUAUCAGCAUUAAGCUUCCGCAAAAUAGAGGUUCUCUUCGAUUGAACAAGAGUUCUUUUGCUGGUUUUUCUGGUUUUGUGGUUUACUUAGUCUUCAAGAAGUUCUUCAAUUUCUGGUGAUCAAGAUGACGAGAGAACAAAGAAACGGAGAGAACAUGCAGUGUGGACAAUCUUCAAGUUCAUUUGCUCAAAAUGGUGUAAGUUCUAGAUUUCGUCAAGGUAUUGUCUACAAUCACCCUCUUUUCUUAAGUCCUACAGAUGUGGGUGGCAUUAGCUUAAUAUCAUUCUAUUUGUUUGGUACUAAAAAUUAUGCAUUGUGGAGUCGUUCAAUAAGACUUGCAUUACUUGGUCGAAAUAAAAUAGGAAUGAUAGAUGAAACUUGUAGGAAAGAUACAUUUACAGAAGAGUUAUGGAGUCAAUGGGAGAGGAUCAAUGCAAUUUUCCUCUCUUAGCUAAUGAACUCAAUUUCAAAGAAUUUGUUGAGUGGAAUUAUAUUUGCUUCUAAUGCGUGUACUGUGUGGGAUGAUUUGAAAGAAAGAUUUGAUCGUAUAGAUAGCUCAAGAACUUAUAGUCUACAUAAUGAAAUCAGUACUUUACAACAAGGAACUACAUCUGCCUCUACAUAUUAUACCAAGUUAAGAAAUCUUUGGGAUGAGUUUGAGGCCCUUGUCCCUCCACCUGCAUGCAAUUGUGAAAAAUCAAGAGGUUUUGUUGCUCACAUGAAUUGGCAAAAGCUCUAUCAGUUUCUUAUGGGAUUAAGUGAAGUCUAUCAUCAGGCUAGAAGUCAAAUUUUAUUAAUGAAUCCCUUGCCUAAUAUCAAUCAAGCAUAUGCUAUGAUAAUGGGUGAUGAAGCACAGAAGUCAAUUAUCUUCACUGGAAAUCUGGGUAUGAAUGUUAUGUCUUCUAACAACUUGGACAGUAUUGCUAUGUACUCUAAGGCUGACAGUACCUUUGGUCAAAAUAGUCAGAAGUUCAAAAGAAAUGCAGGAUUGGUGUGUGACUAUUGUAAGUGCAAGGGACACAACAAAGAAUACUGCUAUAAACUAAUGGGAUUUCCUCUUGAUUUCAAAUCCAAGAAGAAAAAUAUCUCUGGCAGUUAUAAUAGUGCUCAUAUGGUCAAUAUUGAUCUAGGGGUUGAUCUAGAGCAACCGGUACAACAAGCUCAAGCAAAAUUUAUGUUUGGGAUGAAUGUUACUAAUCCAAUAAGAAAUUGGAUCAAUCCCACUUCAGCUGAUUGUCAUAAGAUAGGUCAGUCCUUGAAGCCCAACAUUGUUACAUAUUCUAAAAAAGUUGUUAAAGAAAUGUUACAGGGGUGCACCUUCACCAAAGAUCAGUAUGAUCAAAUCCUCUUAAUGCUUCAAAACAACCAUUCUAAGGGAAAUACUAAUGAAGCUGAUGCAGUCAACGAUGCAGGUAAACAUUUUUUGUUUCUAAGAAUAGUGAAGUAUGGAUAAUUGAUACUGGAGCCACCAAUCAUAUGGUGUCCAGGUCUGAUAUGUUUUUACCUGAAUUUGUGUCUAAGUGUUCAAAAAUAAAGAAAGUGUUUCUACCUAAUGGAGAGGUAUCACAGGUCACACACGUAGGUUCUUAUGCUCUAUCUACUAAGAGUAUAAUCACUAAUGUAUUUCAUAUUACUGAAUUCAAGUACAAUUUCCUAUCUGUGAGCAAGAUAACCAAGGAUUUAGGUUGCUCAGUCAUAUUCUUUCCCCACUUUUGUGCGUUCAAGGAACUUUAUAGUGGGAAGGUGAAGGAAAUUGGUAAAGAGGAAGGAGGUCUCUACUUACUACUAAAACAUCUUUUAAGGACAGAUAACUGACAAGUAUCUCUAUCAGUGAAAGCUAAGGAUUCAGGAACCAAAACAGAGGACAUGGAGCUGUGGCAUAGGAGAUUAGUACACUCUUCUUCAGUAGUUCUUAAUAAACUAUUUUAUAUGAAUAAGGAAAAUGUAUGUAAGGUUUCUACAUGCAAUAUUUGUCCUUAUGCAACGCAAACAAGAUUAAUUUUUCCUUUUCUACAUGCAAUAUUUGUCCUUAUGCAACGCAAACAAGAUUAAUUUUUCCUUCCAGUUCUGCUAAGACUUUGUCAAGUUUUGAACUGAUCCAUCUUGAUCUUUGGGGUCCAUACAAUACAGCUACUUGUGAUGGGAACAUAUAUUUUCUUAUUGUAGUGGAUGAUUUUUCAAGAAUAACUUGGUUGUUUUUACUUAAGUACAAAUCAAAAGUGUGUGUGUCUAUCAAGUUAUUUCUACAAUAUGUUAAUACACAGUUUGACAAAACUGUCAAAGUAAUGAGAACAGACAAUGGAACUGAGUUUGUCAACUCAGUGUAUGCUAUCAUAUGUAAAGAAAUAGGAAUUAUUCAUCAAAGGUCUUAUACUUAUACUCCGUAACAGAAUGGGAGUACUGAGAGAAAACAUAGACAUAUUUUGGAAGUUACUAGAGCUUUGAGAUUUCAAGCUAAAAUACCCCUGAAGUUUUGGGGUCACUAUGUAUUAGCUGUAGCUUAUCUGAUUAAUAGAAUACCUAGUAGUGCAGUGUCAAAUCAAAUUCCUUAUGAAAGGUUAUAUGGUGUAAAACCAAUGUUCAUUCAUCUAAGAGUACUAGGUUGUUUGUGCUUUGCAAAGGUUCUGAAUGAGCAUGAUAAGUUAAUGCCUAGAUCAAGAAAGACUGUACAUAUGGGAUACUCAGACACUUAGAAAGGCUAUGUGUUAUAUGAUCUUACCAGUAGGUCAUUCUUUCUCAGUAGAGAUGUAUUGUUUACAGAGGGUGUGUUUUCCUUUCUUGAUACAGGUACCUCAGUCAACAAUAGUGCAUUUGUUGAUCCCCUCUCCAGCUAUGAUGGUUUGAUGUAAAACAUUAUAUCAUAUGACCAUUCUAUAUAUGUUCCAGCUCAGGUUGCAGAGAUAUAAUAUCCUACAACUGAACCAGAUGCAGUUCCAAGCACCAUUAAUCAUGAUGAAGCUCCUGAACCAGAUACAGCUGAUAUAAAUAACUUAGUUAAGCAUGAUGCAAAUAAACAAAUUGUGGUUCCUGAAGUGGCUACUGGAAAUGNNNNNNNNNNNNNNNNNNNNNNNNNNNGGUAAUGUUCAGUAUUCUAUGUGUAACUACAUUGGCUAUGAUCACUUAUCACCUACCUAUCAAACUUAUAAAUGGCAACAUCUACACUGGUAGAUCCUACUACUUACUCAGAGGUUGUGAAUAAUAAGAGAUGGGUGGAUGCCAUGAAAGCAAAGAUUCAUGCACUUGAAGAAAACAAAACUUGGGAACUUAUAGACCUUCCUGCUGGUAAGAAACUAAUUGAUUGUAGGUUUAUUUACAAGAUAAAGUAUAAAUCCACACGUGAAGUUGAGAGGUUCACGGCAAGACAGGUUGCAAAGGGAUAUAGUCAGAAAGAAGGAAUAGAUUACAAGGAAACAUUUUCUCCGGUUGUUAAAAUAGUGACUAUUAGAAAAAUCCUUGCUAUUACUGCCUCAAAAACUAACAUGUACAUCCAAUGGAUGUCUUUAAUGCCUUUUUAUAUGGAGAUUUGAAGGAUGAGAUCUACAUGACUCUACCUCAAGGAUUUUCAAGUCAAGGGGAGAAGGUAUGCAGACUUAUCAAAUCCUUGUAUGGAUUGAAACAAGCUCCAAGGCAAUGGAAUCACAAAUUGACAGAAGCUCUUAUUGAUCUCAAGUUUCAACAAAGCCAACAUGACUACUCAUUGUUUAUCAGGAAUUCUAGUGAAGGAAUGACUAUUAUACUUGUCUAUGUAGAUGAUAUGCUCAUCACUGGGAGCAAUUUGAAACUGAUUCAAGACAAAAAAGAGGCACUACAACAAGCAUUUAAAAUGAAGGAUUUAGGAGCUAAAGUACUUCUUGGGUAUUGAAUUUACGAGGUCUAAAGUUGGGAUCCUUAUGCAUCAGAGGAAAUACACACUGGAACUGAUAUCUGAAGUUGGUUUAUCUACAGCAAAGCCAGCAAACACUCCUAUUGAUACUAUGUCAAGCUAACUUCUGUACAAUAUGAUGAACACUUGAAGAAUAGUCAAAUUACUCCUGCUGAUCCGUUAGUAGAUCAAGAUAAUGUACCAAAAAUUGGUGGGAAAGUUGUUGUACCUGAAUAUAAUAAGACCAGAAAUCUCAUAUAGAACGCAAACUCUAAGUCAGUUUCUUCAACAACCAAAAAAAUCUCACUUGAAUGCUGCAUUAAGGGUAAUUAGGUACCUAAAGAAGCAACCAGGACAAGGAUUUUUGUUAGGUAGUAACUCAAAUGAGAAGAUUACUGCCUAUUGCAAUGCUGACUGGGAAACAUGCCCUCUUACAAGAAAAUUAGUUACAGGUUAUAUGAUUAAACUAGGAGACUCAUUGAGCUCAUAGAAGGCUAAGAAAUAGACUACUGUCUCAAAAAGCUCAGCUGAGACUGAAUAUAGAAGCCUAACUAGAACAGUGUAUGAACUCAUCUGGUUUAUUGGUGCCUAAAAGAAGUAGAUAGCAAGGUGCAAUUACCAGUACAGAUAUUCAAUGACAGCAAAGCAACCAUACAAAUUGCUGCCAAUCUAGUCUAUCAUGAACGAACAAAACAUAUUGAGAUACACUGUCAUUUCAUUAGAGAAAAAUUACAAGAAGGUUUGAUUAAUGUGAAGUAUAUACCUACAUAGGAACAACUUGCAGAUGUGUUAACCAAAGGCUUGUCUAGACAUCAACAUGAGUAUCUCUUGUCCAAGCUUGGAGCUCUAAAUAUCUUUAUACCUCCUAGCUUGAAGGGGACUGUUAAGAUACUCAACUAAUACUCAACUAAGAAGGGUAGUUAGUUAGUUGUUAGAAGAUCACAAGUAGUGAGUCGUUAUAACUAACUCAACUAAUUCUCUAUAUAUAGAUUCAUUGUACUCAAUGUAAAAAUACAGUUUUAUCAUUCAAUACAAUUCAAUGAUCUUUCUUCUCUGUUUUUCUUUCCUCUCAAAAUGAUCAAGGUUCUUGAUUCAUCUUUAUCUUGAUUACCUUCAUAAAGCAACUCCUUUGCUUUUUAUAACGUUGGUCAUUUACCUGAACUUUAUUUGGCAGAAACAUUGUCAUACCCGAUUUUUACCUAAGGUCAAAACGAGCACGACAUUAUGGACUCUAAAAGAAUAAAUUUUGUAUAGAAUCGCUACCUAAUUUUUAAGAAAAAAUAGAAAACCUAUUUUUUUAUUAACAAAUAUGACUUUUAUUCUAAUCUACGGAACCAAUUUAGAUUCUAGGUAAGGUUUCAAAUUAUUCCGAAGGGAAGGGAUUACGCACCCUUCAGAAUCUACAAAUGUGGUUUUUGGCCAGACUUGGGUUUUUACAAGACGAAGGAAAAAAAUCAAUGUUUAUAAAUUCAAAUUUAAAAUAUGCAUUAAAAUAAUAUAAAUAAUUUUCAUAUAAAGAAUGCAUAAAUUACAUAAAUUAUUGUAUAUAAAAAAUGUGUGAUAUGAUUGAAAGUAUAUAAGAAUGUACAUGGAAAGAAAAGAAAAAUUGAAUAAAGAAAAAAAAUUAUUUUAAAGGAAAAGAUUACGCAAUAUUUUUUAAAUGUAUAAGUAUGAAUUAGUUGAUUAAAUAUCUAAAUCAAUUUUAAUAUAAAUAUUAAUCGUCUAAAUUUGCCUAACGUAUGAUGAGAAUCGCAUAAAAAAUAUAAAAUAUAAAAAAGAAUUAUAUUAAAGAAAAAACUAGGCAAUAUCUUUCAAUGUAUACGCAUGAAUUAAUUUGAUUAAGUAUCUAAAUUAAUUUUAUUUUUUAAAUAUAAAUAUUAACGACCUAAAUUUGCCUAAACGCGUGAUGAAUAUUUGUAUAAAAGCAUUCCCACCCAACGCUUCAAAAAUAAAGAUUUCACUAUAAUUAAUAUUUGUACAAUGAUAAGAAAAAAAGAAAAUACAAAUACAAAAUUCAAGCUCCUCUUUGAAUGCCAUUCACGAUAGAUAUUCUCGAAAACCUGUACAAACACUCGUAAUAAAAAUGUUAGUAACAAAUAAAUAAUUAUCAAAAUAAAUUGAAAAGAUAUGUAUGCAUAUAUAUUUAAAAAUAUAAUUUUUGUUAAAAAGCGUGGGCUCAGAUUAGAUUUUAAAUACGGCAUGGCUACGAAGUGGUUGCUAAUUUAUUAGUCAUCCUAAAUCAUCUUGCCAAGAUACGAAUUAUAAACUUUUUGUGUUGUUAUAAAAAUUUCAUCAUCGCCCAAAUUUAUUUUUACUACGUAUUUAUAUACGUAAUAUCCUUCUUUUAUUUGUGCAUGCCUCGAAAAUCAACGAAAAAUUUCUUCAUCGGUCAAGUUUUGGCCCUUAAUAUAAAAUAAUAUUUUUGAUAAAAUAAAAUUCGUCUUUUGUAAUGGGAUGGCCUCAAAUAUUCAGACGGAGAGCUAAAUUCAUUGGCCAGAUAGUGUAGUAUCUUAUUUUUUUAUCACUGUACAAACUACAUUAAAUGGCAAAAUCAUCGAAAUAACUCAAAAAUCAAUAGGCUAAAAAAUAAAGAUCAUACCAACUGUUACAAUAACAAUGAUACAAUUGAGGGAAAAAUAGCAAUCAAGAAAGUAACACAGCUUGCGAUAGAUAGCAAGCAAGAUCCUCAUAGAGAAAAGAAAUAGCACAAGAUGAAGUAUCUCAAACAGUAGCAACAACCAUGGAAUAGAACAAAACAUACAGAUCUGCUGGAGUUAGCCUUUUCGGCCAGCAAGCAAAUAGUUGAAAAAAUAUGUAUAAACUAAGGCUAGAUGUGGAACAGUAGCGAUGGUCGUGCAUCAAAACUCGCUGGUCAUCAUUUUCGGUGACCCAGAUGCAUAAAAGAGCGGCGAAGGGGGAAGGGGGAGAGGGAGAGAAGGAGCGGCAGUGAUGGUGGUAUUUUGUCAUCACUCACCGGCCAUCAAUUCCAGCGAGAAAAGGAGGAAAAGAGAGAGGGUAAGCAGCAGUUGUGGCUGGAAAUAGACGGUCGCCAGAGUGGUGGCUGAUUUUGCUCGUCGGAGAAGAAGGGAGGAAGAGAGAUCUCAUAGAUGUGUGGUGUAUUUUUGUGUGGAAGUAUGUGUAAUGUGUGUUUUGUGAGAGUGUGAAUUGCGUAUUAAAAAAAGAAAAGGAAAAACAACAAUUCAUUAAAUCUAUUUUUGCUAACAAAUCUCUUAAAUUUUGGGAAAUAGGUGAAAUAAAGUCAAAGAGUCAUCUUUUAAAAGUGAGACAUUUUAAUUGAUUUAUUGCUCUGUGUAUUAAAAUAACUAAACUGACUCUCCUUUGCAUACUACAAAAUAAUGAAUGCCGAUGUAUAAUUACAAAAAAUUAUAAAUAAAAAAUAAAAAUAUAAUUAUCUUGAAAAUAUAUAUUAUGUUAUAAAUAAUUAAAAUUAUAAUAUGCAGUAAAAAUUACAGUGAUGUGUACGUAUGCAAAUGACUGUGCAAAAAUAUUAAAAUAAUAAUAAACUGAUAAGAAUUCUAAAAUUUAUGAAAUUAAAGAUAAUUAUCAAUAAAUUAUGUAAAAUAAAAUGUGACAAUAAAUGAGUAAAAAUUCUAAAAUAAUGAUGAUUAUCAAUAAUUUAUUAACAAUUGCAAAAAAUAGGUGAAAAUUUGCAUAUUGUGCCAUUUAACGAUCAGGGAGCCUAAAUUCGUUAAUUUUAAGUAUGGAGAGCCAAAAUCGGGUGUCAACAGUUUGCCCCUUUUUGUUUGAGAAUAAUGUAGAAGUCUUCAAACGAAAAUGUUGACGCGUAGCCAAUUUUGCUUGAUAAAAAUUCAGACAAACUUCAAUUUAAAGUUGCCUACAUAUUUCGAGUUGCAUGAGGAUCAUGCUGAGUAUAGUUCAAAACCUUUCCCAACAUGUUCGAUUUUGGGUUGGACAAACCCAAUGCGUCCUCGAAUUCAAUGCUUGCAAAAUUUAUAAAACUAAAUAAACUGUAGACAAAUGAGUAACAAAGGUUGAUAUUUUUUUUUGGAGAAAUUCAAAAAAAGAAAAAAGACAUUUCGUGCUUAACUAAUUGUAAUGAUAAGUAAAAAAAAAGUAUUGCAAGAUCUUAACUCUAAAGACAUAUAAAAUAUUCAAUUGAAGAUAGACAUGCAUAAAAGCUUUUAUUAAAGGGCAGACUAACCCAAAAUAUCCUAUUUCAAGGUGGACAUACCCAAUUUAUCCAUAAAUUAUAUGCUUGCAAAUGCAUCAAACUAAGUGGUACUGCUCAAUAAAACAUGAACGAAAAAUUAAGCUUAAUUUUUUUCUUUUUUCUCCUUUUUUUUUCUUUUUUUUUUUUUGAGAAAUUAAAGAUAACAUGCAGUGCUUAACUAAUUAAGAAAAAAUGAUACAAGCAAAGAUAACAUCCAAUGCUUAAAUGGUAAAAUAAGUGCAUUGCGAUAUGUGCAAGUAAAGACAAAACAUACAAUGCUUAAAUAACAAAAUAAAUGCUUUGCGAUGUGCAAGUAAAGGCAAAGAUAAAAUGUGGUUCUUAAAUGAUAAAAUAAAUGCAUUGCGAUAUUUGUGAGGCAUGCAGUGCCUAAAUGCUAAAAUAAAUGCAUUGUGAUAUGUGUGUACAGUGCUUAAAUAAUAAAAUAAAUGCAUUGCAAUAUGUGCCAGCAAAGACAAAGAUGACAUGAAAUGCUUAAUAAUAAAAUAAAUGCAUUGCAAAAGCUAGCGUGUAGUGCUUAAAGGAUAACAUAAAUGCAUUGCGAUAAGUGCAAAUAAAAACAAAGAUAACAUGCAGUGCUUAAAAUGAUAAAAUAAAUGCAUUUCGAUGAGUGCAAAUAAAGAUAAGGAUAAAAUGCAGUGCUUAAAUGAUAAAUAAAUGCAUUGCGAUAUGUUGCCAGCAAAAGCAAAGAUGACAUGCAGUGCUUAAAUGAUAAGAUAAAUGCAUUGCAAUAUUUGCGAGGUGUGUGGUGCUUAAAUAAUAAAAUUCAUUGUAAUAUGUGUGUGCAGUACUUAAAUGACAAAAUAAAUGCAUUGCAAUAUUUUUGAGGCAGCAGUGCCUAUAUGAUAAAAUAAAUGCAUUGCAUUAUGUGCGUGUAGUGCUUAAAUGCAUAGCAAUAUGCGUCGAUAAAGGCAAGAAUAGCAUGCGAUGCAGAAAUAAUAAAAUAAAUGCAUUGCGAUAAGUGCGAGUAAAGGCAAGAAUGACAUGCGAUGCUUAAAUGAGAAAAUAAAUAAAUGCAUUGCGAUGCGUGUAAGUAAAUAUAAGAAUAAAAUGUAGUGCUUAAAUGAUAAAUAAAUGCAGUGCGGUAUGCUGCCAGCAAAGGAAAAAAAUGACAUGGUGUGCUUAAAUGAUGAAAUAAAUGCAUCGCGAUAUUUAGGAAGCAUGCGGUGCUUGAAUAAAAAAAUUGCAUUGCGAUAUGUACGUGCAGUGCUUAAAUGAUAAAAUAAAUGCAUUACAAUAUUUGCGAGGUAGCAGUGCCUAAAUAAUAAAAUAAAUGCAUUGCGUUAUGUACGUGCAGUGCUUAAAUGCAUAGCAAUAUGCACCGAUAAAGGCAAGAAUGACAUGCGAUGCUGAAAUGAUAAAAUAAAGACAUUGCAAUAACCGCGGGCAAGAAUGACAUUCUAUGCUUAAAUAAUAAAAUAAAUGCAUUGCGAUAUUUGCGAGGUAUGCAAUGCUUAAAUAAUAAAACGCAUUGCAAUAUGAGCCAGUAAAGGCAAAGAUGACAUGCAGUGCUUAAAUAAUAAAAUAAAUGCAUUGGAAUAUGUGCAUGCACUGCUUAAAUAACAAAAAUAAAUGCAUUGCGAUAUAUGCCAGCUAAGGCAAAAUGACAUGCAGUGCUUAAAUGAUGAAAAUAAAUGCAUUGCGAUAUUUGUGAAGCACGCAAUGCUUAAAUAAAAAAUGCAUUGCGAUAUGUGCGUGCAGUGCUUAAACAAGAAAAUAAAUGCAUAUCGAUAUGCGUCAGCAAAGGCAAAGGUAACAUGCGGUUCUUAAAUAGAUAACAUGCGGUGCUUAAAUGCAUUGUGAUGCGUGCAACUAAAAAUAAAGAUAUCAUUCAGUGCUUAAAUGAUAGAAUAAAUAAAUACAUUGCUGUGCGUGCAAGUAAAGGCAAGGAUAAAAUGCCUUACUUAAAUGAUAAAAUAAAUGCAUUGCAAUGCGUGCAAGUAAAGGCAAAAAUAGAAUGCGGUGCUUAAACAAUAAAAUAAAUGCAUUACGAUGCAUGCAAAUAAAGGCAGAGCUUAAACUAUUAAAAUAAAUGCAUUACAGUGCACACAAAUAAAGGCCAAGAUUAAAUACGAUGUUUAAACGAUAACAUAAAUAUAUUGCGAUGCUUGCAAAUGAAGGCAAAGAUAAAAUGUUGUGCUUAAAUGAUAAAAUAAAUGCAUUGCGAUAUGUGUCAACAAAGACAAAAAUAACAUGCAGUGUUAAAUAAUAAAAUAAAUGUAUUGCGAGAUAUACAAAUAAAGACAAGAAAAACAUACAGUGCUUAAAUAACAAAUGAUAAAAUAAAUACAUUGCAAUGCGUACAAGUAAAAACAAAGAUAGCAUGCAGUGCAAAAAGAAAUAAAUAAAGUGCAAUACGUGCAAGUAAGGGAAACAAGUAUAAAUAUUUUAGUGAAGAAAAACAUGCACAAUUGUCUUAUUGGAGGAUAGACUGAUGCAAUUGUCCUAUUUUAGGGUGGACAAACCCACGUAAAAAAAAUGAAUAUUGAGCAAGGAAAUAUUCGGGAAUGAAAGUGUUCACAUAUUCCUGAUGCUUCUUUCAAAAUUGCCCCAGUAUCAAGCUUUGAAAUGCUGGGGAUGCAAGAUUGUGUACUUGCUGGGGAGAAAGAAUGAUUGUAGGGUUGCGAUGACCGAACUCUGCAUAGAGCUUCCUACAUAUCUCGAAUGUCUCGAGAAUCAGGUCAAUAUAGUUUGAAAUGAGAAAAAUAGGAUAUGUUUUGAGGCGGUCUUAAAAAAAUUGCCCCAGUAUAUUGCUUAUGCUGACAAUGUUGUGUUCUAAGAAAAUUAAAAAAUGAUUUUACUAUUGUAGAUUGAAAAGAUGUAUGAUGUCUCCGAUUGCUUAUGGGAACUGAUGCUAAUUGUUAUUUUCGGUUGUAUACGAAGACUAACGCCCUCAACUAGUGAGGUGACUGAAAUCUAAUAGUCUCUCGCCUGGUGGAGCUAUUAAAAUGUAAAAGGCUCUGGACUGCAGAACAAGCUUCUCGACUGGCGAGGCUGUAAAAAUAUAAAAUGCUCAGGAGGAGUGCCUGACAAAAAGAAUAAAAUGCCGGUAUUUAAAGGUAUAUGCUUGAAAGAAAAAAAUUAAAUGUUUGUAUUUCAAAACUGGAUGCCUUGAAUGAAAAGUAAAAAAUGCAUAUAUGUAGAAAUGGACACCUUGAAUGAGAAGUAAAAAUGUCCAUAUGUGAAAGUGAGCACCUUAAAUGAAAUAUUAAAAAGAUUCAUACAUACAUACAUACAUACAUACAUACAUAUGCAUACAUACAUAUAUACAUACAUACAUAUAUAUGUAUGUAUGUAUGUAUAUGAAAGUGGACGUCUUGAAAAAAGAAAGAAAGCAGUUUGCAUUUUCUUGGUAAAAAUUGUUGAAAUAUGAAGAAGACACAAUCGUAUCUUGACUUCAGUUGGUACCAAUAAUUAGUAGUGUGCAUAAGAAAUUUUUCAAUUCCUUCCAGCUAACUGAGAUCAUCUUCAGGGUAACUUCUAUAGUUUCAAGUAGUACCUCAGACACACCUAAGUAUCGUCAAGAUUUGCUCGUCUUGCUUCAAACAAAGGUUUUGAGCUAUGUUUAUUCUCAUGUUUUAAGUAUCCUCUCCAGAAAAAAAGUUCCAUUUCGCACAUAUUUGAGUAAUUUUCUUUUUGAAUUUGGGGACAGCUAGAGAAAUACACUCACAUUCAGAAAGAAGUUCAAUGUAUGCAAUUGUGAUAUCAUAGGCUUGACCUUCAUGUAAGUAUCCACUUAUAAUGCCCCAAAAAUGGGUCCCGAAGCAUCACACGGUGCAUAAGGCUACAAGUAUCCCCAAGCUAACCCUUUAAGCCUGCUACUUCACAUAAUAACUUACUUAGAGAUGAAAGAGAUAAAUCACGGGCACUGAUAUAUCAAAUCAUAAGAAAUACUGUGAAAAUACUUUAUCCGAACAACCAUAAUAUUGUAAAUCUCGACAUACUAACAAUCUGACAACUAGUCUGACAAAGCCUCUACUACUCAAGAACUAGAGAGCCAUUGGGACAGGUCCCCAACUGACUCAUACUCAACUGAAAAGAAAUGAAUAACUACUAGAUAAACCGAAUAUCUGAAGAUAACCGAUCCUCGAACCAUGAGGACUCACCACUGUGGAGAUGUAGAUAAAGGCACUUGGGGAUCACUGACGAGGCUGGGAUUGAGUACCUGAACCUACAUUAUGAUACAAUGUAGCACACAGACGUAUAUGUGGAUCAGUACUUUGGGAAUAUACUGAGCAUAUGGGGGUGUAUGCAAAUAAAUAAUCAGUAUCACAAGUCUUAAUAGAAAACAUGCAUGCUAUAAUAGAUGUCUCACAUAGCUUGAAUAAAAUUCUCAUAAGUUGUGGUUAGGAAAUAGAUAAUAGGAAUCACGUAAGUCAUUUCACUUUAUUCAGGAUCUGUAUUCUUUCUUUGUUCUCAACUUGUAAAUUAGACGAAAUCCUAAAAUAUCAACUUUCAGGACAUAAGCUAUAAUCUCAUGAAAGCAAGAAACUUCUUGGGAACUUAAUAAUCAUGACACUUGAAAACUUUAGAAAUCAUAGGGUCAGAGUCUUCAAAAUCAAUAUACCUUCAAACUUACACUUUUAUCUUAAGGAUAGUAAAACUUCUUUAAAACUCAAGAACUUGAUACUUUAGGAACUUUAAGACUUGAGACUCUAGAAAACUUAAAGACUUUGGGACACUUGAGACUCGGGAUUAUAUAACUUUGGGAGUUUUUUCUAACCGACAUAAACCAUGUGAGCUACAUGGAGUCCAACGUCUUGCCCACGUUGGGGAGAGCUAUUCUAUCCUUUCCAUCGGAGUAGAACAUUUAACUUGUAGUGAUUACUAGCUUAACCCACUUGGGGUAAGUGUGAAACCUACAGAGGUACGUAGUUCUGGGGCAUGAGACCUCAGAAUCAAGCCCAACUCGGUGCUAAAUACUACUCCCUUACUUAGCUCAGAACUUUUUAGAAAAUUCACCUUAAACAAUUCAACAAUAUGUAAUGGGAGCUAAUAUUCUUCCCCUUUAUCUCAAAGCAAAUAAAUAAUGUGGAUUUCUUUCUUAGCUUAGGAUCAAAACUCAAUUCUUUACUUGAAAUCUUGAUAGACUUUUCAUCAAAGUUUUAAAAUCUCAACAACAUGGAAAUAUAAGUACACUUCUUGGAUUAUCAAUAAUUCAUCCUCAAAUACUCAUAAUUUCACAAUAAAGUUCAACUCAUGACAACAACUCUUGAAAAUUCUUGAAAACAUGAUUUCAAUAUAGAAAUGUGCAAUUUAUAUCAUGAACUCUCAAUUUAGAUCAUAAUUGAACAAAAUAAUCAUGCAAUUCAAGAUUUGAACAAUUCCAUAAUCUCAUAAACUUGAAAUAUAACAAAAUAAUAUGAAUUCAUCUUGGAAAUAUGAAACUCUUUAAAAAAAUCUUUAACUUUUGGGUACAAGAACGAAAGANNNNNNNNNNNNNNNNNNNNNNNNNNNNAACCCCACAUAUCUUGAAAUUGAAGCUUUGAGUGAGCUCUUGAAUUUGGGUUGCUAUUCUUGAAAUUAAUGGGUGCUUCUUGUAUCCCUUGGAAUGAGUAUUCCAAUUUUUGAAAAAUUAUUGAAAACUGACGGUUAACUUUUGAGUUCUCUUAAAGUUUGUGUAGAAACCCUAAGCUAUGUUCUUGGUGGUUUUUGAUGAAAGUAUGAAUAAUAUGACAUUUUUGGGGUGUAAUCUCGUGUUAAGGAUGAUAAAGGAGUGGUAAAAUACCAACUUUACCCUUAAUGAGACGGAGAAAGGAAGCUGAAAGCUGGGCACAAAGGCUAUGGCCUGGGCGGCGCCUUGCCCGGUGACUUUGCUAAGGUAGGCGGCGGCUUUCCCAGAGCCUUAGCUAAGCUGGGAGGCACCCCUUAAUAGCCUUUAGCUACUAGUUUGACACCCCAAACAUGGCCUAAACGGAUUUCAAAAAUUCCAAAACUCACCCGAGAUACACUACAAGCUUGCCCCAUCGCAAUGCAAUAAAAAAAUCAAAAAACGGAGGUCGGGAAGGUCGCAAAAUAAUUCAUUGAAGUUUGAGGUCUCAAAAAUGAACUAAGUGUUGAAACACUUCGCUGAAAUUCUAAGUGUUAAGCUUGUUUUAACUUGCUUCGAAGGAUUUAACGAUGAGGAAACUUUACGGGGUCUUACACCACUAAUGUGAGAACACUUGAAAUAGAAUAUCGUAGGAAUUGCUAUCGACUUGUAAUGUAGGCUUGGGGAUGGGUAGGAUAAUAUUUGAGAUGAAAGUGACUAAUCCCUCAGUGAGCGUUACACUGCAUUUGUGCUUUCGACGUUUCAUGCGCUUUGGCACGUGAUUUUCUUUAGUUAUGUUGCAUUGCCCCUUGCUUUUGUAUUUGCUUCAUCUUUUUUGAAUCUUAUAUUGGAGUUUUUACCCCUUUUUUCAAUAAACUAUAUAUUUUUUGUUCUACUUUUUUUCUCAUUUUUUUUUCGGAGGGGGGGGCGCUUGAUCUUCUUCGUUGUGCUUCAUUGUCCUUUGGUUUUGUAUAUGCUUUGACUUCUUUUGAAUCAUGUGUUGGAGUUUCCCCUUUUUUUUUUCAAGAAACUAUAUAUUUUUUUUCUUUUUUUCUCUUAUUUUUGUGGAGUUUUUGCUCCUUUGAAGUCAUUUUUAAAUUUUGUUCAUCUGGGACAAUAUAUCCUUUGCAUUUUAUGUCUUUGAUCUUGAAUCUUCAUCCGCAAAUUGCACAUAUUUAGUGCACUCAAGGAAGUAGUUCCAAGAGAGAGAUAGUGCACGUUGUUUUGCGGAGAAAUUUUGACUUUUUGAGAAGAGUCGCCACUUAAUUUUGAAAAGGAAUUAAGAAACCUUUAGAGAGUUACUUCAAAAAAUUCAAAACAGAAAAAUCAUUUUAAGUUAGAGAUUCUAGAUAAGCGGUUCCUAUUAAUGUUUUAGGAAGGUGUUAGGCACCUAAAACGUCCGCUAACUUGCGGUUAUCCGGACUGUUUGAAAACAUCUUUUGAUUAACUUUUGAAAAGAUUAAUUUGUUGAAAUAGUGAUUUGAUUUUAAAAAAAAAACUUGUGUAAAAUAGAUUUAGGCGACUUAAUAGAGAUUUUAACUAAGUCUAAACAAAACUAAUAAACAAAUAAACACAUAAAAGGGGAAGGGAGGAGAAAGUAAAGGAUUUAGGCCAUUGAGCCCAAAUCAACAAGACCUGUCCUAGUUUAGUUGGGAUUCGGACCCAUUUCACCUGUCCUAAACUAUUUUUCGAGCCUUUGGCUCAAGUCUUGCUCCACCUAUAUUAAAUACAACUUUGGCUUCGACGCCGAAAUGAAUGAAUAAAUAAAUGAAUAAAUAAAAAGAAAAAAAUAAUAAAAAUUGAGAUUUUUCAAGUCUCUUAAUGACCUCAUCAAUGGGUUUUGACCCAUUUUCCUUCUUCGUUUAUCUUCUAGCACCCGCACGCCAUGUAGUGGACCUUGGGUUUAAACUUCGAACUUGACUCAAAGGGGUAGACCUCAUUGGCCCAUUACGAAAUGCAAAAGGAGAGGAAUCCAUUUGGACUCGAGACAUUUUUUUGCAUACAAAGAAAAGAUAAAGAAAUUAAUAUACGUUCAAGNNNNNNNNNNNNNNNNNNNNNNNNNNNNNNNNNNNNNNNNNNNNNNNNNNNNNNNNNNNNNNNNNNNNNNNNNNNNNNNNNNNNNNNNNNNNNNNNNNNNNNNNNNNNNNNNNNNNNNNNNNNNNNNNNNNNNNNNNNNNNNNNNNNNNNNNNNNNNNNNNNNNNNNNNNNNNNNNNNNNNNNNNNNNNNNNNNNNNNNNNNNNNNNNNNNNNNNNNNNNNNNNNNNNNNNNNNNNNNNNNNNNNNNNNNNNNNNNNNNNNNNNNNNNNNNNNNNNNNNNNNNNNNNNNNNNNNNNCACUUGCACAAGAAUGAGAGUCAACAAAUAAAAUACAAAGCAAAGACACCCACUUACAUGCCUCAUGAUUUAUGUCAUACAAGAAUGAAUAAAGGUAAAAGGAAAAAGGUCAUAUUCAAUGAAUUAAUCCAAGAAACAAACAACGUAACCUUGCGAAAGUAAAGGGAUGAGACAACAAGGAAAAUACUCAAUACUUUUACAAUUGAACAAACAUAGAUACUAAUCCAUAUAACCAAAGAAAAUAAAGGUUAACUUUUCAAACAAGAGAAUCUUUAAAUUUCAAUUAAGGCGACAUUAACGAAAAUUCAUACAUCUAAAUUACAACCAAAAUUUUNNNNNNNNNNNNNNNNNNNNNNNNNNNNNNNNNNNNNNNNNNNNNNNNNNNNNNNNNNNNNNNNNNNNNNNNNNNNNNNNNNNNNNNNNNNNNNNNNNNNNNNNNNNNNNNNNNNNNNNNNNNNNNNNNNNNNNNNNNNNNNNNNNNNNNNNNNNNNNNNNNNNNNNNNNNNNAGAAUCAUACUAUGCAUGACUCAAAAAUAUCUAAAUAAUUCUAUUUAGCCACAAAAAUUCAAACUUUCUCAUCAUUUUGACAAAUUUGAAAACAUGCGAAAAAGAGGAAUAAACACCGUGGAUGAAAAAUAAAGCUAGCACUUCAUCUCUUAUAUGAAGAUUUUGGAGAUCCCUUAAAAUUAUUAACAAGUAAAUAAAAAAUUAUUUAUUUAAUCACUUACUAAUUUUAUUAAGGCGAAACAAACAAUAGUAACUAUUUUUUUCAAAAUAAAAAAAACAACUUUACAGCUAAAACAAACAUAUCCACCAACAAUAAAUUUAAACAAGACAUGAGUUUGUCUUUUGAGAAAAGAUCAAAACUUUAUACAUGACAAUCAAAGAAUAAAGUCAAAAGGCAAAACAAUCAAUACUAACCAUUCUUUUCAACAUAAAGAAAAUAACUUUACAUGCUAAAAACAAANNNNNNNNNNNNNNNNNNNNNNNNNNNNNNNNNNNNNNNNNNNNNNNNNNNNNNNNNNNNNNNNNNNNNNNNNNNNNNNNNNNNNNNNNNNNNNNNNNNNNNNNAAUCAAUAUUAACUAUUCUUUUCAACAUAAAAAAAAUAACUUUACAUGCUAAAAAUAAACAUAUUCAACAAUAAUGAGUUUAAACAAGACAUGAUUAUUUUUUUCAAGUAAAGAUCUAAACUUUAUCCAAAAUAAUCAAAGAAUAAGGUGAAAAGACGAAACAUUCAACAUUAAAUAUUCUUUUCAACAUAAAGAAAAUAACUUUACAUGCCAAAAACAAAUAUAUCCAACAACAAUGAGUUUAAACAAAGCAUAAAUACAUAUUUUAAGCAAAGAUUGAAACUUUAUCCAAAAUAAUCAAAGAAAAAAAGUAAAAAAAAAAAGACACAUACAACUAUUGUUAGCUCAUAUUUAUAUCAUGAACAUGAAAAUAAUUAGAAUAUCGAUACCACAAUGUCCUAGGGCCUUUAAGGCCAUCUACAACAUACAAUCCCAGCAAACAAAAUUAUAUCUACGAACUAUGAAGAAGAAAAAAGAUGAAGAAGAAAACGAUAAUAAAAACUAAAAAAAAAAAAGAUGUGUUUACCUUUUUGGGGGCAGCAAAACGAGACUACGAGCUUCAUCGGAAUAAUUCACCACUAAAAAAACGUCGCCGGCAACUUGAAAUUUUUUAUUAGCCGACCAACUCUAUGAAACAAAAAUUUUUACUAAAUAAAAAUAACUAUUUUGCUCAAAAAGGAUUUUUUACCUUUCUAGCCUUUUUUUUCCUUCCCUUUUUACCAAAGUAGUGGUAGUAUUUAUAGGAGAGAAUGAGAUUUUUUUUUUCUCUUCCACCAAUGUGGGAGAAAAGUAUUUAUAGGAAAGGAUGAGAAUUUAUUUUUUGUCCUCCACCAAUGUGGGAGAAAAAGCAAAUAAGGGUGUUUUUGGAUUUUUAAAAUUGAAGAUAGGGUGAGGUGGAAGAUAAUGUGAGGGGAAAUUAUACAAUGUACUACAACUUUUGAAUUUCAAAAUUGGGAAAAGACAAAGUUGGAGGGAAAUAGUAUAAUGUAGUACAAUUUGAAAUUAUUUUUUUGUGGAAUUAGGUAGAAGUUAUGAGAGUUUUUGGGAAUUUUGGGGUUAUUUAAAAUAUAACCCCAAUUGAGAUUUAAAAUUUAGCCAUAUUUAUUUAAUUUUGACCAAAUUACAAAUCAAUUGACGGAUUGCAUUAUAAUUAUGGCCAAUUUGAUUUCAAUUAUGGCCAAAUCUAAUAGAUUGGCUAAAUUAAAUUGAAAUUCGAUGUGAAUUAAUACUUCAUUUAAUCCCGGGCUUCUUGAUUUUAUAAAAUUAAACACAUAUUUAUCCGAAUAAAUUAUUUUUUGAGAGUAAAUUAUACUUAAAUCAAAACUUUAAUCAUUUGAAUUUAUAAGCCUUGAUUAAAAUCCGAUAUUUUAAAAAAUAAAUAUUUAAGUAAAAAAAUUAUAAAAUCUCGUAUAAUUGAAUACGAUAAAUUAUAAUCACUACUUAAAAUGAUAAAAUUACGUACAAAUAUAUUUAAUAAAUUUUUAUUUGGAUGGAAUAAAUAUUUUAAUUUUAUUAAAAGUCAAAGAAACUCAGGAUUAAAUUUAGUCGUGGAGGGCAAAAAUUAGGUGUCAACACACGUAAGCACUUAAAAAGGUAUAGGCUCAGAUGCGGUUGUUCAAAGAAAAGGUUUUAGGCUCAAAAGAGAAAAUACUAGGGAUUAAUGUCAUUUGGUGGGUUGUGAAAGGCAUAAUCGGGCCAAAGAAGGCCUCCGGUGCUUUCCUAAACCAAGUACAACUCAAAAUUUUGCCUCAACAGACAUUAAGGUCAAGUUCUAUAUCAACAAUACAAUGCAAUGAAUUAAACUAAAGCUCACCACAUAAUGCACUUGAAACAAUGAGGUUGAAUUCGUUCUUGUCUUAGAUGUAUGCAGGAGAAUUUUCAAGUGUUACUUUGGUGUGAUAAAAGGUAUCAAAAGAACCUAUGGCUUACCAUAAAGUCGGUUCCUUCCAUCAUACCAAUUUGCUCUUUCUCAUGUACACUCCUAACUGUAUUAAUACCAACCAAGUCAAAAUUUUAUUUUAUUUUUAAAAGAAGGAUGAGAUCAAACCCAAAUGAGGGUUGCUUACGUAUCUUGUGAAAGCAAGAAUCAAGUCUGUGUAAUUCAGGCAGAUUUAUAAAUUAUUAUGUGCAAUGUAUGAUUGUAAAAAAAAAUUGAUGGUCAUUCAUAAAAUUAAUGUGAAAUACAAUCAAGAAAGAACUGCUUUUAGCAUCAAAAUAGUUUUGAUCAAAUGAUCGAAAGAAUAGAUGUAAAGCAUGGGGAGCUUUGACACAACUUCAGUACGCUGACAAGAUUAAAAAAUUCAGACAUUGAAGGAAUUAUGACAUUAUUUUGCCGCAAUUGGUAAGAUUAUUAUAACUGAAAAAAAUAUUGAACCCUUGCUUUUGAACGUGAGGAUUGAUACGCCAUAAAUUUAAUGGUUUACGAUGUUCAAGAGAAGAAGCUAGGUAUAGUUGCACAAAAAUCAGGUGAAGAUAUGAACGUAGGCCAGCUAAGAACUAAUGUAAUGAGAUUUGGAUUUGAGGAGCUAUUAAAUUGUGCUCUUAAAGGCUUUUGGAGAGCGUCUUUGAACUGUUCCAGAAAAUUGCCCCAGCUUAAAUACUGGACAAAUUAUUCUAAAAUAGUGAAGAGACCGAACCCUAAUGUAGGGCUGCUUACGUAUCUUGUCAGGACAAGAAUUAGGUCAAAACGUAGUUCAAAUCUAUAUGCAUCUAAUGGCGAUGUUAGUAAGGUGCAUUUUUAAUCGAUCCGCUAUGCAAAACAAAGGUUAGACUACACCUUCUCACAAAAGUGUAAUCAAUUUAGAGCAAAUAAAUAUGUACAGACACAAUGAUCCUUCAAAUAUGUACAAACACUAUGAUAAUGCGUCACUUGGGUCGUGAAUCCUUCGAACAUAAAGUUACUAACGAUGCAUGCACCUAAAAAUGGUGUUAUUUAGCUAUAUCUCAUGUUGACUAAGAGUGGGUAGACACAGACUUGGAUUUCCUAUAUGAGAAGGCACGUAGUCCCACGAUAGUAAAACUCUCGUUUACCCCACGCAUGCGCCGACUCUCUAAAAUAAGGUGAUUUGAAAGAAUUUUGGGAAAGUACAAUUUACAAUCCGCAUGUACAAUGUGUGUGAGUGUCAAUUUUUGAAAUGAAGGAAAUAUGAAUGGAAUGUCAAUUUAUGUAAAAUGAUAAAAUAAUAAACAAUCUAUACAAAAUAAUAACAAAUAAAUAAAUUAUGUCACAUAAACAAAAUAAAUCAAGACAAUUAGUAUGGAACAAAUAACAAUUUAUAAAAAUGUAAAUAUUUACCUAAAUAUGUAUUGGUUAGAAUCUUGACUCCCCAACAGGGUCGCCAAACCGUCAAACCCGAUUUUUACCUAAGGUCAAAACGAGCACAACAUUAUGGACUCUAAAAGAAUAAAUUUUAUAGAGAGUCGCCACCUAAUUUUUAAGGGAAGUAGGAAACCUAUUUAUUUAUUAACAAAUAGGACUUUUAUUCUAAUCUACGAAACCAAUUUAGAUUCUAGGUAAGGGUUCAAAUUAUUCUAAAGUGAAGGGAUUAGGCAUCCUUCAGAAUCCACAAAUGUGGUUCCCGACCAGACUUAGGUUUUUACAAGACGAAGAAAAAAAUUAAUGUUUAUAAAUACAAAUCUAAAAUAUGCAUUAAAAUAAUAUAAAUGAUUUGCAUAUAAAGAAUGCAUAAAUUACAUAAAUUAUUGUAUAUAAAAAAUGCGUGAAUAUGAUUGAAAAUAUAUAAGAAUGUACAUGGAAAGAAAAGAAAAAUUGAAUAAAGAAAAAACUUUAUUUUAAAGAAAAAGAUUACGCAAUAUUUUUUAAAUGUAUAAGUAUGAAUUAGUUGAUUAAAUAUCUAAAUCAAUUUUAAUAUAAAUAUUAACCAUUUAAAUUUGCCUAAUGUAUGAUGAGAAUCGCGUAAAAAAUAUCAAACAGAAUUAUAUUAAAGAAAAAUAAUAUGCAAUAUCUUUCAAUGUAUAAGCAUAAUCAAUUUGAUGAAGUAUCUAAAUUAAUUUAAUUUUUUAAUAAAAUAUUAACGACCUAAAUUUUCCUAAAUGAAUGAUUAAUAUUUGUAUUAAAGCAUUCCCGCCCAACACCCCAAAAAUAAAGAUUUCACUAUAAUGAAUAUUUGUACAAUGAUAAGAAAAAAAGAAAAUACAAAUAUAAAAUUCAAGCUCCUCUUUGGAUGCCAUUUACGAUAGAUAUUCUCGAGAACCUGUACAAACACUCGUAAUAAAAAUGUUAGUAACAAAUAAAUAAUUAUCAAAAUCAUUUUUUUUAUCACUGUACAAACUACAUUAAAUGGCAAAAUCAUCAAAAUAACUCAAAAAUCAAUAGGCUAAACAAUAAAGAUCAUACCAACUGCUACAGUAAUAAUGAUACAAUUGAGAAAAAUAGAAGUCAAGAAAGUAACACAACCUGCAAUAGAUGAGAGAAAGAUCCUCAUAGAGAAAAUAAAUAGCACAAGAUGAAGUAUCUCAAACAGCAGCAACAACCACGAAAUAGAACAAAACACACAAAUCUGCCGGAGUUAGCCUUUUCGGCCAGCAAGCAAACCGUUAAAAAAUAUGUAUAAACUAAGGCUAGAUUUGGGAUAGUAGCGAUGGUCGUGCCUCAAAACUCACUAGUUAUCACUUUCAGCGAGCCAGCGGCGUAAAAGAGCGGCGAAGGGGAAAGGGGGAGAAAGAGAUACAACACACUCAUAUCAUAAUCCUUCAACAACUCCAACCACUUUAUCUGAAGGAGAUUCAACUCCCUCUAAAUAAACAUAUAUUGCAAGAUUUUGUGGUCCGUGAACACUUCAACAUGCAUACCAUAUAGAUAAUGUCUCCAGAUUUUCAAAGCAAACACAACAACAGCUAGUUCAAGAUCGUGGGUUGGGUAAUUCUUUUCAUGAGGCUUCAACUGUCUAGAGGCAUCGGCUAUGACCUUACCCCUCUGCAUCAACACACAACCCAAACCAACUUUAAAGGCAUCACAAUACACCACAACAUCAUCUGUACCAUCGGGUAAUGCUAAGACUGGGGUUGAUGUGAGUCGAGUCUUCAACUCCUGAAAACUCUUCUUGCAGGAAUCUUACCAUAAAAACUUGACUUUUUUUGGGUCAAUGUACACAUCGGGGAUGCAAUAGAUGAGAAAACUUCAACAAAACGGCGGUAGUAACUAGCUAGACCCAAGAAACUCCUAAUGCCUGAUGGUAAGAUCGGUCUAGGCCAAUUCCUUACGGCUUCUGCCUUUUCGGGGUCGACUUUAAUGCCAUCGGCAAAAACAAUAUGACCGAGAAAGGCUGCUGACCUUAACCAAAAUUUACACUAGCUAAAUUUGGCAAAUAAUUGAUGAUCUCCAAGAGUUUACAAGACAAUUCUAAGAUGAUCUAUAUGGUCAUCCUCACUACGGGAGUACACAAAGAUAUCAUCUAUGAAUAAUAUGACAAACAUGUCUAGAUACUGCUUUUUCACUCGAUUCAUGAGGUCCAUGAAAGCUUCUGGAGCAUUGGUUAACUUGAAAGACAUAACUAGAAACUCAAAAUGACCAUAACGGGUUCUAAAAGCUGUCUUUGGGAUAUCACAUCCCCUUACUUUAAGCUGAUGAUAGCCGGAUCUAAGGUCUGUAUUUGAGAAAUAACUUGCACCUUGGAGUUGAUCAAACAAGUCAUCAAUUCUAGGAAGGGGAUACUUGUUCUUGACAGUAACCUUAUUCAACUGACGAUAGUCAAUGCAUAUACGUAAAGACCCAUCUUUCUUUCACAUGAAUAGGAUGGGAGAGCCCCAUGGGGAAACACUAGGCCUUAUGAAACCUUUAUCUAGAAAAUCUUUGAGUUGCUCUUUCAACUCCUUAAUCUCUGCGAUAGCCAUACGAUAAGGAGGUAUAGAAAUAUACUAAGUAUCUGGGAGAAGGUCAAUACCAAAUUCUAUUUCCCUAUCGGGAGGUACCUCUGGGAGAUUUUCUAGAAAAACAUCAGGAAACUCAUUGACCACUCAGACGGGCUAAAUUAUUGGAGUCUCAAACUUAGUGUCUUUAACUCAAACUAGAUGAUAAAUGCAACCUUUGGAUAUCAACUUUCUAGACUUAAGAUAAGAUAUGAAAUGACUCUUGGGAGACACUGAAUUACCUGACCACUCAAAGACUGGCUCGUCUGGGAACUGGAAUUUCACCACAUAGGUGUGACAAUCUAUAGAUUCAUAACAAGAAUGAAGCCAAUCCAUACCCAGAAUAAGAUCAAAAUUAACCAUGUCUAACUAUAUCAGGUCUUCUAACAUAACUUUAUGAAGGACAGUGAUAGGACACUUCUUGUAGAUUUGUUUAGCAAUAGCUGACUCUCCUACUGGUGUUGAAACCAAGAAAGGCUCAGGAAUCUUUUCCAAAUUUAUCUCAAAAUUUACUACAACUAAUGGGGUAACAUAAGAGAAACUCAACCUAGGGUCUAACACAUAUAAAUAUCAAGAUAAAAGACACAAAGUAUACCAGUCACAACAUCGGGUGAAUCUUUCUGCUCUUGAUGGGAUGGUAAAGCAUAAAACCAUUUCUGUCGUUGGCCACCACCAGUACUAGAUAAUGCACCCUGAGGAGGACCUGGCGACCUAGAGGAGCUGGUGCACUAUUUACCUGAGUUUGAGGACGGAAAUCUCUAUUACCCCGCCUAGCAUGCGGGUAUUCUUUGAUUCCGUGACCCGACUGGCCACAACCAUAACAACCUUUCUGACCCUACAAAUAUUCAUCUUCAUGAUUCUUACCACACUUAGCACAUGGGGGAUGAUUAGGUCUAUUACUCACACUAUUCUAAGACCUGGAUAUAACAAACUUACCCCACUGCUCUUGCCUAUUUCUGGGUACAGGAGCACUGACUAAAGAAGGUGAAGGUAUAGAUGAACGAUUCUGAAACUGCAAAUUAUUUCCUCCUCCAGACCUAUUCUAACCAUGAUCAAAUAACCCUAUUCUAGCCCUCUUAUUUACUCUCUUCCUUUUCUUCACCUUCUCUGCCUCAAUCUGUGCAUUAUCAAUCUAGGAAGAUCCAUAUCUCCAAUAAGCAUAGCAGUUCUACACUCCUUAACUACUAACCCGAACACACCAGUUACAAACUUACUCAUGCUUGACCUAGGGUCAUCCAUCUGUUCAGGAGCAUACUUAGUCUACUAGUUAAACUUGAGGUAAUACUCCUUCACUAUCAUUGAGCCCUGCCUCAGGUUCAUGAACUAUUCUAUCUUAGUUUCCCUCAUCUCACGUAGGAAGAACUUGUCUAAGAAAGCAUCCUAAAAUAUCUGCCACGUCAUGGGAGCUGCAUUCUCCCCUCUACUUUUCUUCCACAUCACCACCCAAUUAUACGCAACUUCCUUCAGCCUAUAGGAUGCCAAUUCUACACUCUCCUCUUCAGAAACAAGCAUAAUUCAGGUGAUCUUCCUCACCUUAUAUAGAUACAACUACGGGUCCUCACCUGCCUUUAAUCCAAAGAAUUCUGGUAGAUUCAUCCUUAUAAAAUCUCAGAUCCUGGUCGCAGCUAAGGCCCUAUCUUGCUGAGGUGGGAGUGCGGCCUGACAGUUGUCCUGAAUAUUAGCUAUCACAGCUUGGGCUAGCUCUUAAAAGGAAGCCCGAAACUCUGCAUGUGACAUAUUUUUAUUCAAAGAAUCUGCGGGCUGAGGUGGCUGGUUAUCGUUUCUGCGUGCUCAAUGAGGAGGCAUUUUCUGUCAAGUGAAAGAACAAGUUAGAAGCAGAUAGAGACACUGAAUGCACAAUAGAUCAUGAAAGAAGAGAUGAUUUCCUAAAAUGCUUCAUAGCCUCUUGCUCAUAGAUGUGACGUGCUUUACACCGAUGAUCAAGACUCUAUGUAACGCGGCUUGUCUAAAUCCCUAGGACUUUUUAAACCUUAGGAUCUGAUACCAAGUUUGUAAUGCCCCAAAAUCUAAUCUCCAGGAUGCCGUACGGUGCUUCGAACUACAAAUAGUCUUGAGCUAACCCUGACUGCCUUUUCUAAAUCUAAACCUCAAAAUAGGGAAAAAUAUAAAUGAAAAAUCAGAAUAUAUACAAAAAACUAUCUGAAUCAUCUGGGUAUAUCUGAAUCUACUAAUCUCAAAAGUCUGAUAGACCAUAUGCUGAAAAUCUGAGUACUAAAAUAAAAAUCUGAUUACUAAAUCUGGUAGUCCAAUAAGCCUCUACUAUCUAAAUCUAUAGAGUUAUUGGGACAGAUCCUAACUGACUCAACUGUCUGAAAUAAAAUGAGAAACAUCUGCUAAUAAAUUGAAAGUGUGAAAAACUAAGUCCCCAAACUAUGAGGACUUACCAACUGCAGGAAUGUAGAAAAGAUGUUCGAAGAUCACUCACGCUACUGAGAUUGAUCACCUGAACCUACAUUAUGAGACAAUAUAGCACAUAGACAUAUAUGUGGAUCAUUACUUUAAGGAUGUACUGAGUAUAUGGGGAUGCGUACAAUAAAUAAACAAUAUCAUCACAGUUUAUAAAAUCAUGCAUGCUAAAUGUAAAUGACUCACACGGGUUUGUGUAAUCUGAAAUUUGAAAAUCAUAAACCAUAAUUGAUAAGACAUAUACCGUAAAUCUUGUGAGCUAUUACACUUAGUUCUGAAGUCUGUAAAAUAGCUUAUCUUAGGGCGUAAAAUCUUAAGACCAUAACUUUCAAAACAUAUGAUUUUAUCUUAAAUAUUUAAAUCAUUAGACUAUUGAAGAGUGGGGGACAUCUGUUGGGAGGUUCUUCUAACUGACAUACACCAUGUGAGCAUCCAUGGAGUCCCACGUCUAGCUCCCGUUAGGUAGGGUUGUUCUACCCUUGCCGUCGCAAUAGAACUUCUAUCUAAUGUGAUCACAAUCUGAGUCAUCCAUGAAAAUCAUAUAAAAUCAAUCAACUUUUGUAAUUAAAAGCAAGUUUUGGGCACAAGAAUGAAGGAAGCAUCCUUGUUCAUAAACCCCACAUACCUUGUUGGAUGAUUAGAUGAAGAAACCUUGAAUUUUGGAUUCCUAUUGCGUUCUUGAUGAUGGGUUCUUGGUUAUCUUGCUUCGAAAAUCCUUAAUUUGGAGCUUUCUUAGGAAAUUAAUGGAGAAAUUUUGAGUUUCUUGGAGAGGAAGUAUGAGUCUUAGGGUUUUGCUUGAGAGAGAAUAAUGAAUAAAGCAUAAAGUGCUUUGAAAUAUGAUUAAUCUUUUGUUUUUGGACGGACUGGGGGUUGGGGAUUUACCAAAAUUCCCUCUUUAAACUUUUAAACGAAACUAAAAAACGUAUAUUUUCCCGAUUUGGGUGGCCACCGCGACGCGCCACUAUCUCGGUGACUCACUGAAAAUUGACAAAUAGAAAUUAGAUAGACUUCACAACGUGGAGUCAUCGCGGUGUCCCUUUGAAAUGCCAUUUUGGCACAUGGCGCAACGCGCCAUUAUCGCGCUAGGCCUCUAGAAAUCGACAAAGCGGAAAUUGAACCUCUCCGAGACGCGCCAAUAUCACGGAGGGCCACUAGAAUGGGACAAUUAGAAAUUUACACUGCUCCGCGAUGCGCUAAGGGUCCGAAUGACAGUGUUUUGUGAUAGGAACUAAAAAUAACCAUAACUUCUUACCCGAUUAUCAGAUUUAUGGAAUCUUAUAUCACUGGAAAGCUAAUUCAAUUUCCUGGAAAGCUAAGGAAUUCCACAAUAAAUAUAUAGUAUUUGUUUUGAAAGCUAUCCCCUAACACUCUAGGGACGAAUUUAAGCUAGGAAAAAUUGCGGGGUAUUACAAUAUCUCCCCCUUGAAAAUAUUCAUCCUCAAAUGUGGCUAGUUAAGCUAAAAUUUCUGAGGAAUCUGAGAAAAUAAGAUAGCAUGCACAACUAAAAUAAACUACGAGCCUGAAUCUAAAUCAUUCUGAGCUUCUGAGUAAUUUGUGAGUGCAUGAACUUUCAUGAGGACAACUAUAUAGCUGAAUAUAUGAGUAGAAAAUAAACGAAUCAAGGAAGAGUGUUACCUUUGGCUAAAUCUGAUUGCAGAGAAAAGGUGAGGGUACUUGGCUCGCAUAUCUGCUUCUGUUUCCCAGGUAACACCCUCAACAGACUGAUUCCGCCAAAGAAUUUUGACUAAUGGAACUUCUUUGUUCCAUAGUCUACGAAUCUGAUGAUCUAAAAUCUUAACUGGAAUCUCUUUGUAAGAAAGGUUGUUCUGAAUAUCUGAGCUUUCUAAAGGAACUACAACAGUAGAGUCACCGAUACUCUUCUUAAGCAUAGAGACGUGGAAUACAGGAUGAACGGUUGAUAAGUCUGUGGGAAAAUCAAGCUCAUAAGCUACUUUCCCAACACGACUCUCAAUUCUAUAGGGGCCAACAUAUCGGGGACUAAGCCUCCCCUUUUUUCUAAAUCUCUUCACCCCUUUCAUGGGUGAAAUUUUUAGAUACACUAAAUUACCAACCUCAAACUCAAGGUCUCUAUUCUCACAUCUGCCUAGGAUUACUGAUGACUCUGGGCUGUUUUCAAUCCUUCUCUAAUCAACUUAACAUUCUCCAUAGCUUCAUACACUGCAUCGGGCCUAAGAAUAGUGGCCUCACCGACCUCAAACCAACCUAUGGGUGAUCUACAUCUCCUCCCAUAAAGAGCCUCAAAUGGAGCCGUCUGAAUGCUAGCAUGAUAACUAUUAUUAUAAGCGAACUCAAUCAAUGGCAAAUGUUCAUCCCAACUACCCUUGAAAUCAAGAACACACGCCCUCAACAUAUCUUCUAGAGUUUGGAUGGUCCUCUCAGUUUGACCAUCUGCCUGAGGGUGGAAAACUGAACUAAGAUGGACUUGGGUACCAAGAACCUUCUGAAAAGCUCUCCAAAACUGGGAAGUAAACUGAGUACCCCUAUCCGAGAUGAUAGACAAGGGAACUCCAUGCAGUCGGACCAUCUCUCGGAUAGACAACUUAGCAUAAUCCUUAGUUGUAUAAGACAUGUGAACUGGUAAGAAAUGAGCUGACUUAGUCAAUCUGCUUACAAUAACCCAAAUCAAAUCAUGAUGACGACGCAAAUGGUAUAAACCAGUCACAAAAUCCAUAUUCACCUCUUCCCACUUCCAAGUGGGAAUACCAAACUCUUGCAACAUGCCACCAGGUCUUUGGUGCUGCACCUUAACCUGUUGACAAGUUACACACUUAGCUAAGAAAUAUGCUAUAUCUCUUUUCAUAUCAUUUCACCAAUAGAUUUCCCGCAAGUCGCGGUACAUCUUGGUAGUACUUGGAUGAAUAGAAUAACGCACAUCGUGCGCUUCCGCCAUAAUUCUCUGUCUCAACUCAUCAACACAAGGCACACACAAUCUAUUCUGGUAUCUUAACACACCAUCACUCCCUUGGGAGAAAACCUUUACCUUUUGGUCUUUAACUGACUCCUUCAGUUUGACCAAACUAGAAUUCAUAUCUUGCUUCUCCUUCACUUCCGAAACUAGGGAAGAUUCAGAACUACUCUGAACCCAAACAUUCCCUUUAGCUGAAUCAACCAACCUAACACCCAAUCUUGCCAAAUGAUAAACUUCUCGAGCUAACUCUUUCUUACCAUUCUCCACAUGACCAACACUACCUAUAGACAACCUAUUAAGGGUGUCUGCCACUACAUUGACCUUGCACGGAUGAUACAACAUACUCAUAUCAUAAUCCUUCAACAACUCCAACCACCUUCUCUGACGGAGACUCAACUCCCUCUGAGUAAGUACAUAUUGCAAGAUUUUGUGGUCUGUGAACACAUCAACAUGCACACUAUACGGAUAAUGUCUCUAGAUUUUCAAAGAAAACACAAUAAUAGCUAGUUCAAGAUUGUGGUUUGGGUAAUUCUUUUUAUGAGGCUUCAGCUGUCUAGAGGCAUAGGCUAUGACCUUGCCCCUCUGCAUCAACACAUAAUCCAAAUCAACUCUAGAGGCAUCACAAUACACCACAAAAUCAUCUAUACCAUCGGGUAACGCUAGGACUGAGGCUGAUGUGAGUCGAGUCUUCAACUCCUGAAAACUCUUCUCGUAGGAAUAUGACCACAGAAACUUGACUUUCUUUUGGGUCAAUCUAGACACCGGGGAUGAAAUAGAUGAGAAACCUUCAACAAAACGGCGGUAGUAACCAGCUAGACCCAAGAAACUCCUAAUGUUUGAUGAUGAGAUAGGUUUAGGCUAAUUCCUUAUGGCUUCUUACCCGGUUAUCAAAUUUAGGCGAAUCUUAUAUCACUGGAAAGCUAAUUCAAUUUUCUACGCAAUGGAAAGUUUACAUCUAAGAAAUUCCACAACAAAUAAAUAGUAUUUUUUUAGAAGCUAUUCCUUAACACUCUAGGGACAAAUUUAUGCUAGGAAAAAUCGCGGGGUAUUACAAAGCAGUGGUUGUGGCUGGAAAUGGAUGGGUGCCAGAGUGGUGGUUGAUUUUGCUCGUUGGAGAAGAAAGGAGGAAGAGAGAUCUGAUAGUUAUGUGGUGUAUUUUUGCGUGUAAGUGUGUGUAUUGUGUGUUUUGUGGGAGUGUGAAUUGAAUAUUUAAAAAGGGAAAGGAAAAAAAGUAAUUCAUUGAAUCUAUUUUUCUAACAAAUCCCUUAAAUUUUGGGAAGUAGGUGAAAUAAAGUCAAAGAGUCAUCUUUUAAAAAUGACGAGAUUUUAAUUGAUUUAUUUCUCUGUGUAUUAAAAUAACUAAACUGACUCUCCUUUGCAGGUCGUAUUAAAUAACGUACAAAAUAAUGAAUGCCGAUAUAUAAUUACAGAAAAUUAUAAAUAACAAAUAGAAAAUAUAAUUAUCUUUAAAAAAUAUAUUAUGCUAUAAAUAAUUAGAAUUAUACUAUGCUGUAAAAAUUACAGUGCGGUGCUGUGUAUGUAUGCAAAUGACUGGGCAAAAAUAUUAAAAUAAUAAUAAACUGAUAAGAAUUUUAAAAUUUACGAAAUUAAAGAUAAUUAUCAAUCAAUUAUGUAAAAUUAAAAUAUGAGAAUAAAUGAGUAAAAAUCCUAAAAUAAUGAUGAUUAUCAAUAAUUUAUUAUCAAUUGCAAAAAUAGGUAAAAAAUUGCAUAUUGUGCCAUUUAACGAUCAGGGAGCCUAAAUGCGUUAAUUUUAAGUAUGGAGAGCCAAAAUUGGGUGUCAACAAACAUCACACACAUAUUUUAUUGAUGCACUUGGUUGCUUUAUAAGUUUUGAUUUUUGAGAGGAAUGUGGUGCUUAAUUACUACAAUAAAGGUACCUUAGAGAUAAUUACUAAAGUUAACCUUACCUUAGGGCUACAUGGUUUGGAAAUAAAAACCGCAACCAGAAAAAUAAACUUUUUCUUGUGUUCAAGUUUGAUGUGUGAAUGGAAAAAUCGAGACAAUUAUUAGAGAAAAAGUGAGCUCUCACUUAAAAGGAAAUUAUACUCACUUAAAGGAAAGUCCACCUCUCCCACAUUGGUGGGAGAAAGCAACUUUCUUGUGUUUUUAUUAAGAAACACACCUUCAAAUGGAUUAGUGUUGUUAACUAGGCUGGUCCGGUUCAAAUCGACACCGGCCCAAGUACUUUUACCGGGUUCUAGGAGGGUUCAAUCCCAGGUCACUCUUAACGAGUCGGUCCGAUCUGGGCCCGAACAGUGAAAUUUGCUGAAAUGGACCGAAACCGGACCACUUAGCGUGUAUCCGAUCUUGACCGGUCAAAACCAGUCAAAAUGUUAAAAAAAAAUCAAAAUUUCCAUGUUUUUUUCAAUAUAUACACACCUAUAUACAUUUUAAAUUCGUUAAACAAAAUACAUACAACAUAUAUAUACACUAAAUAUAUACUACUUUAGAGAAUAUAUAGACAUGUAUACAUUAAAGGGAAAAGGGUCAAAAAUACCCCUCUACUUUAGUUAAUUAGCUAAAUUUGUCCUUCGUUAUACAUUAGGGUCAAAUAUACCCCUACCGUUAACAAACUAUAUAAACAUACCCCUUAUUUUAACGGUUGUCCACCAUGGCCUGACAUUUGAUGAGGUGGAUGCCACAUGGCAAUGCCACCUCACCAAUUGUAGCAUAUUAACAUAAAAAAUUCCUGUGCAUUAACAUAUUUUUCAGCAUGUCAAAAACAAUGGCGUUAAUGCAUUUUUCAGUAUGUCAAAAUCAAUUUUCAGCAUGUUCAAAAUUAAGUUCCUGUGUAAAUCAAUUAAAUUCUAGCAUGUUAAACUACAUUUUUGCAUAAAAUAAUUAAUUACCAGCAUGUUAAAAUAUUAAUUUAAGCAUUUUUAGCAUGUUAAAUUGUAGAUUAAGUACGUUAUUUCAGCAUGUUAACAUGAAAUUACCGUGGAUUAGCAUAAUUUUUAGCAUGUCAAAAUAUUAGAUUUUAGGCAUUUUUAGCAUGAUAUUGCGUUUUUCAGCAUAUUAAUAUGAAAUUUCUGCACUAUUAGCAUAAUCGCCAGCAUGUUAAACACUAGAUUAAGUACAUCAUUGUGUGCCUUAACAUGUUAAUAUAUUUUCAACAUUUUGUUAAUUUCUUACACUCUCAUUAGUUUAUAGCACUUGCACAAUGAAAUUCGUGAGCACAAUUCCUUGACAUAUUUACCACACUUUUGACACCCUCUUUUAACAACCUAACAAUACAUUGUUACAUCCAUGAAUCACAUUACAUUUUGUCACACUAACACUUGUUGAACACUUAGAUAUCAUGCCUAUAGAUCAAUAACACAAAAAAUAGUUAUUCUUUCUCUUUGCAUGUUAACCACAUUAAUCAACUCUUUAAUAACCUAGGGAAUAACGUGAGACAUUACUUGCUACUUGACGUCCAAUGUGUAGCGUGUCUCCAGUCCUAGGCAACAUAGCUUUAUUUUGUCUAGACCACAAAAUCAAUAUAUCCAAAGUCCAAUGCCUCUAGGAGGAUAGGCGGGACGAUAGGAAUUACUAAAGACGCUAGUUUUAUCCUUGUCUUAGAAUGCCUUUAGAGUUAACAACCAGCCUAGGUGGGGUGGGACGGUAGUCAUUCGGAAGUGAUAAUCUCAAACAGACAUAUAAGGUAAGAUAUAUGACUUGUCUAAGAGUUCGGCCAGUGGGUCAGAUGAUGAUUAAACAAGUUGGGGUUCUGAUCCGAAUGAGACAAAAAAUAUUUCUUUGUUUGAUUUGGUGAAUUCUUUUCAUUCUUUUAUUUACCUUACAUGCUUAUUUAUUUGGGGUAGUUAGCUUGUUAUGUAAGCAAUCCCCUUUUGUUACAAAUUAUGUCAUUUCUUUCUCCUCGCUUAUCUUAUUAUAUGUUUUUAUCACUUAGAUAAUUAACAAUUAGAAAUAAUAAAAUAACAUGUUUUUUCAUUAAUUAUGUUAUCACUUAGUUAAAUAUUAAAUUAAUAAUAAAAUAAGUGACCUUAUUUUAUCACAUAGAAUUCCCACGUAAAGUACUAAUUCGGCUGGGAACCAUCUUUGUGGACCUCGAAAGGUGCCUAACACCUUUCUUUUGAGGUAAUUUGAACUCUUACCUGAAUUUCUGGUGAAAUAAGACAAAACAACAAAAUAGGUUCGUAGUUAUCCUAGACCGAUACCCUAACGCACCUUAAUUCGCUAGGUGGCGACCCUUCAUACUUCCUACCUUCAAAAAAUCCCAAAAAGAGUUUGUCACGUCAAAUCUCGCUUUCAGUGAGGAAAAUGGGGCGCGACAGUGGACUGUUUUAGUGUAUGUUUUGUGUCUUUCCUUGUUAUUCUUGUAUUAGAAAUGAUAUACCUUUCUAUGAACCAUUGCUUCAUUUAUUUGAAAAUCCAACGAAAAUAUUUUAUCCAUGUACGCCAUGCAAAUGCAUGCAAAAAUGCCGCACCUCGAAAGGGACGCAACCCUUCGAGAAAAUAACACACUGUUUUGAAAAGGGUGACUGUUCGGUCGAAAAUGACUAUUCAGAAAAGACACACUUUUUCGAAAGUCACGGACAUGACUAUUCUGAAUUAUGAUACACCUUUCCAUGAACCAUUGCUUUGUUUUAUUGAAACUUAAAAAAACAAGUGAAAUUUUUAAUCCAAAAAUCCAACAAAAAUAUUUUCUCCAUGUACGCCAUGCAAAUGCAUAUAGAAACACACCUCAAAGGGACGCAACCCUUCGAGGAAAUGACACAUUGUUUUGAAAAAAGGGUGACUGGUCGGUCGAAAAUGACUGUUCAGAAAAGAUACAAUAUUUCGGAAGGCACAAACAUGACUGUUUCGAAAUUAUAUACCUUUCCAUGAACCAUUGCUUCGUUUAUUUGAAACUUGGAAAAACAAGUGAAAUUUUUAAUCCAAAAAUUCAAUGAAAAUAUUUUCUCCAUGUAUGCCAUGCGCAAAAUCUCACCUCAAACGGGACACAACCCUUCAAGAAAAUGACAUACUAUUUUGGGAAAGGGGUAACUGUUCGGUUAGAGAUGAUUGUUCAGAAAAGACACACUGUUUUAGAAGGCACAGACAAGACUGUUCCGAAAUGAUACACCUUUCCAUGAACCAUUGCUUCCUUUUCGAAGGAAAACUUGAUGGCUAUAAAUACUUGAACUUUUCCUCAAGUAUAGAUAAAAUUCUAAGUGUUGAAAAACAUUCUUCUUCUUCCAAGAAAACUCUUUGUGAUCAUCAGUCAUUGAGUGUGUUCGAGAAAUAUGAAAGUUUGAGGUACCACUACUAAGGGUGGGCAUUCGGUUUGUUCAAUUUGAUUGUUGAAUAUCUGUUCGAUUUUUGAAUUGUUGAAAAAGAAAACCAUAACCAAACAAAAAUUAUUUCGGUGUGGUUUAAUUUUUACAAAUUCAAUUCAGUUAUUUCGGAUUUUUAUUUCGGUUUUAAUGAUUAAAGUAGUGAGCAUUUAAAAUUGGUGAUUUUUCUAGAAAAAUACUUUUUUGCAAGCCUAUUUUUCAUUCCCAAAUAUAAUUAAUUCAAUACACAGUAAAUAACCAUAAAUAUUGACCUCACUGAGUUGUCGCAAUUGGCAUGACAGCAGUAGCUGCAUUCGGCAGCGGCUACCGACGGCAGUGACGAACUAAGCAAACGACUUCCAACUGUCGAUUGCGAUGUUGAAAUUUCAAACGAACUGACGAACUGAGGAUGACUGAGCGACACUGCAGCCUUCACGUUAAUGUUAGGGUCUAAAACAAAGCAAUAUAUAAGAAUUUAGGGUUACUAAAUGAUUAUAAUUUAUAUAUUUAUAUGUUAUAUUAGAUUAUAUUAUAUUUUUAGUAUAUUUACAUAUAUAAUAUAUAAUAUAUGAUAUAUAUAUAUAUACAUAUAUCUAUCUAUAUAUAUAAAAUAUAAUAUAUUAUUUAUAUAAUUUUGAGUUUUUGAUUUAUCUGAAUUAUUUUUUUGAAAAUUCAAAAACCAAACCGUUUAACCGAAUUUCAAAAAUUUGAAACCGAAACCAAUAUGAAAAACCAAAAAAACAAAUCAAAAUUAAAUUUUGGUUCAGUUCUUUGGUUUUUUCGGUUUAAACCAAAAUAUGCCUAACCCUAACCACUACCUUUAGAUUGUGAGUCAUUUUAUACUGGGAGAAAAAAUUUUGCAACCUCAAGUACUUGAGGGAAAUUAAUUCCUUAAGGACACUCCGUGAAAUCGGAGGACUUGAUUCUAAUUCUACUUUUAUUUCAUCUUAUUUCCUUAAAAGUUGAUAACAUACAUCUUUGAUAGUUCAUUUUGAACUAUUUAAAACUAUUUAAGGAGAUAACAAUCUAGCUAUUUCCUUGGGACAAGUCGAUAAUAUAAUAUGAGGUCUCAAUAUUAUGUAAACCAGAGGACAAGAAAAGAAUAGGAAUGAGCAUAUGACUCUUAUAUCAUGUUAAUAAAAUGAACCUUCUGUUAUUUUCAAUGUUUUCGGGUACAAGAAUCUGUAUUAGGCACCUUCAACACAAAUUCAAGUCUAAAACCAAGAACACCUAUAAAGUUACUUAACACCUUCAACACAAAAUUAAAAAUAAUCUAUCCAAGAAGUGUGUUAUAAUUUCAUAAAUAAGAUGAAAAAAAAUGUUAAAGUCAAGUCCUCUGAAUUCAUGAAGUGUCCUUAAGGAAAUAAUUCCCUUAAGUGCCCGAGGUUAUGGAUUUUCCUCCCCAAAUAAAAUGGCUUUCAAUCCAACAAUAGCGGUACCUCAAAUUAUUGGAUUCGUCGAACUCACUCAACAGCUAAUGAUCACACUGAGUUUUUCUAAAGAUAUGAAGAGUUCUUUUGCUGUCAAAAAUCAUGUAAAUACCUGAGGAAUAUAUCAGGUAUUUAUAGCCUUAAUGUGUUCCUUCGGAAAGGAUGCAUUGGCUCUGAAAAAAUGCACAUUUUCAGUACAGAUAUGUCACUUGUGCCCAGUCUGUGCUGGACCUGCGCCUGAUCUGCUGCCUAAGGUAACACUGUCGAAAUUGCGCAAACCAAUGUGUCUUUCACCUCGAAGGGUCGCAAUCCCUUUUAGGUGCGUUGUGCAUAGCGUCUGAAAUGCGCCCGCACAUGGAGAAAAACAUACAGAUCUCAUCGAUCGAUCAUUUGACAAAGUCGAAGCCGAGCGAGCAACAACAACAACGUGAGGCACCACCUUGUUCUUGCCUCACUAUCCAGGUGGAGAUGUGUUUCUCAAUAUAAACACAUGAAAGCUUUUUUCUCCCACCAAUGUGGGAAAAUUUAGUAAGCUUUCCUAUUUGAGCAUACUUUCUAUUUUAGUGUAGACUCAAUUUUCCUCCACUAUUUUCCCUCUAUUUUUCCAUUCACACACCUUGAACCCAACAGCUUUGACUAGAAAUAACCGGGUCCUGGGUCACUUAACACUAACUUGGACACAUUCAAAAUCAGAAAUCCAAUAUGAGCUCAGCUUGAAAUAAUAUUUGAAUUAAAUGCCACAAUUAAAGUUAAUGAAACAUCUCGGAUAAAGAGAGGCGUGAUUAUUAUGAAUUUAAGAAAAAAAAAUUGUGUUUACUUGCUGACAAGGUCUUUUGACAGCUCUUGGACGAUAUUUUUCAGCUCUAGCCUCUAGCUAUGUAUUGGAGGCAAGAUAGUUAAUCGUAAUUUAUUGAAGAUGUUGACACUUUCUUUUCUCAUAUAUACAAGCAAAAGAAUGUAAGGGGUGGAGGGCUAGAGGGUACAACUCAUCUUCCAAAAGUGGUGCUCAAUCAUAGAGGAAAGGGUUCUAGAUGUAAAUAAGCAAAAAAAAACAAUUUAAAAUAAAAUUGCAUAUUCAGUAUGAGUAGUGGAUAUAAUUAUGUAUUCCCUAAUCCAUUAUGUGGUACAACAAUAAUUGUGUAAGAAGAUGAGGAUGAAUGCCAGAUGUUACGUAUAUUCAGAUGAGAAGAUCGUCUGGAUAAGUGAAGUCACUUUAAGUCUUUAACUAAAAGCGUACUCUAAAUGAUUCACUCCUAUAUCUCAUCUUCAUUUUAUGGGGUAAAAAUUUCCUUAGAUAACAAUUCUGUGUAUGUAUCUAUCUAUGCUCGUCAAAAAAAAUUGUGAAAUUCAAAUACAUGUUUUCUGAAAGUCGAAGAAUAGUUUUAAUUUAUCCAAAAAAGUAUAUUAAAAGUAGUAGAAAAAAAUGAGUACUUGUUUUUCUCUCAAAUUGUGCCAAGUACAUGAGUACUUGUUUUUCAGAAAUAGGUGCAUGGUACAUGAUCAUUUGGGUUUUAAUGGCUUCAUAUAUGUUGCUUUGGCCAAACCCAUCGAUAACCCCUCAAACUUGUCCCUAAAAUUCACUUAGGCCCUAGACUAAAAUUUGUACCUAUUAAACCCCUAACCCCCCCCAUUAUAUUUAAAUUAUUUUAUUAAUAUAAUUUUUAAUUACUAUAAUUUCUUAAUUCUUUUUUAUAAAAAGCACCCCCUCCUAUAUCAUCUUUUCACAGCACCCCACCCCCUGCAUCUCCACCCACCCCGUGUCUUCAUCGUUUCAACCUCACCCCACCCCGCGUCUUCGUCGUCACCCCCCUCUCCUCACGUCUUUACAUGAACAAAUUCUUUUUAAUCCGCCAUAAUUAUUUCCUUCCAUUUCUAAAUUUCAACAAGAUUCACUUUUUUUCCUCCACUAGUAUCACCAUUUUUUGAAAAAUUACAACAAAUUUCAAUAAAAAUCACCUUUUUCUCCAAGAAAGAUCACUUUUAUCACCAUUUUUUUUUCCUCCACAAGAAAGAUCACUUUUUUUUCAUUAAUAUCCACCAUUUUAUGAAAAAAUUCAAUAAAAAUGACUUUUUUCUAGACCCCUUUUGAAUUCUUGACGUAGAUUUAAACAAAAAAAAUUUGUGUGUGUGUUUUUUAGGUUUAUUUUAAUGGAGAAGAAACUUUAAUGGAGAAGAAGAGGUUCAUGUUCCUUUUUUGUGUUUCUAAUUGGUUCAAGUUGCUAAGUUUUUUCUGUUAAUUCGAUUAACGAAGAGGAAAUCAUUUUAAGAAGGGAACCACUUUAAGAAAUAAAAAUGGUUAAAAUCAACAAAACAAAAAUUCAACCAUUUUUGUUGAUUUGCUGCUGCUCAACAUUGAAUAGUGAUCAAGGAAGGGACAUACAAAUUAAAGGGAGAGGAAAGUCGGUGAGAAAGAGUGAGAUAGUGGUAAUAAUGUGUGUAUGUAUCUGGGAGCUUUCUCUGUUAAUUCGAUCAAUGAAGGGAUACAAAUGUGUUAAUAAAGGAAAAGAAAAAUGGUGGAAAAUUAAUGGAUUGAAAAAAGUGAGGAAGAAAGAGAAGAAAGAUGAAAAAUUACGAAAAUACCCCUUAAGAAUUAUGAAAAUACCCCUCAAGAAUUACGAAAAUACCUCUCAAACGCGCUUUCAAUGCGUGUAGCACACGAUUUUUGCUGAUUCGGCAAAGUGUGCCAAAGUGACACACUUUAUGGCUACUUGAGGUGCCAAAAGUGAACAACAUCCACUUGAGGUGCCAAAGUGAAAGAUCGUGCCAAGUUUAGAGGGUUAUCGAUGGGUUUGACCUUUUUUUAGAGCAUAAGAUGGACCAAAAGGGAGUCAUGUCUAAAUAGUUCAAAAAAGCUCAGUUUUUUUUUUAAAUUUAUAAUUUUUGAUUAAUAAUAAUCAUUUUUUUAAAAUAAGUUUUAAAUUAUUUUUAAUAAUUUGGAUCAGUUUUUUAUUUUUAUUUUUUAAAUAAGUUUAUAAUUAUUUUUUAAUAAUUUGUUUUUUUAUAUUUUAUAAUUUCUUUUUAAUAAUCAGUUUUAUAUUUUUAUUUUUAAAUAAUUUUAUAAUUAAUUUUUAAUAAUUAUCGAACCCACAAUACCACGUGGCUGCUUCCAAUUAGCCCUUUUUGCCACAUCAGCGCGUGUGUGCAACACACACUUUUAGAUUUUAGAUGAUUGAGCAAAAAAUGCCCAAUUGAAACCAAAUUGGAUGGGUUUAGAGAUUUAAUAGGUACAAAUCCUAAUUUAGGAAUCUAAAUAAAUUUUACGAAUAAAUUUGAGAGGCUAUCAAUGGGUUUGGCCUAUUACUUUUCUCUACCUUUAUUUGCAGGAACAGAAAGAGGACUGGACGUGCCUAAAUAUUCAACAGUUCAGUGGGCCAAAUAAUUCAAAAGGACUCCUAUAGUCUAGUACUCUUUUCUAAUUUCCCUAUAUUUUAGUAUAUAUAUGUCUCUUUCCGUAGCAAAUUGCAGCCCAAACAAAACAAAAAAGAAAAAGAGUUUUGAUUUGUGGCCAAUAUCCAUGUAAAUAAACAAUAAAAUUCAAAAAGAAAAAAAACAUUUUUCUUCUUGUUGGUCGGAGAGUAGCUUUCCUUUUGGAGUUGCUUUCUAUUUUAGGUUUAUAAAAGUCUUAUAGUAAUAAUUAUCACAUAGAAAGUAUUCUGCAAGCCACUUUAUUUUUAAAAGGGAGUCGAUAAGUAUGGGGCAAGUCUUGGCAGGAAAGAGAUGAACAGUCAUAUAACAGCAGUCUACUAGUAAUAUAUAUGUUCAUAUUGAAUUUAGGUCCGUACACCUUUACAAUGUGUCAUAAUUAAGAGGUAUAGACUCGCUUUCUUAUAUACCCAUUUUAUCUCGUAUUUAUUUGUUUAGGGACGAGGUGUUACGUACCAGUGAACUCCAAGGGGAAGCAAGUACCAUUUUCCUUCCCCCCUUCAGCAGCCGUUUCAAAAGAACUUUGGACAAGGGAAAGUCAUAAAGGAAACCGAUACACUAUCGUUUUCUUGGAAACAAUUCUAAGGCCAUUGGUUUUAGGAAAUUAAUUAACGAAUUGUAACAUACUUCAUCAUCACAAGCAGUUUAACAAAAGUUGGCUUUCCGCUUGCGUUAAUUCAGGGAAGGAGAAUUUAAAUAUCUAGUGCACUAAUUCACUACAAGAAAAUAGUGAAAUUGUGACAGACAUUUUAAUCACAAAUCAUAACUUGUGAUGGAUUUGUGACGGAAAAAUAAUAUGCAUCUCAAAACCGGGUGUCAUAAAUUCAUUGUGACGGAUUUAAAUUCCGUCACAAUAUUAUUGCGAUGGAACUAAGACAGAUCAUCCGUCACAUUAUAAAUUCUUAUAGUUGACUUAAAUUCCAUCACAAAUUUGUAACAGAUUUUUGACAAAUAUUACGUCAUAAAAUUGUGACAGAAUAAUUUUUGUAACAAAUUUCUAAAUCUAGUCACAACUAUUGUGACAAUAUAUUUCAUUACAAAUUAUUUGUGACAAACUAAUUUAGUCACAAUAUGACUCUCUUACCUAUAUUAGUAACAAUUUUAAGAUAGAUUGUGACAAAUUAAAUCAGUCACAAAUUUUAUUUGAAUUUUUAAUUUUAAUAAAUAAUAAUUAUAAAUAUAUUUUUUUUUUUUUUAAUAUAUAAAAAUUAUAUAUAUAUAUAUAUAUAUAUAUAUAUAUAUAUAGAUAUGAGAGAGAGAGAGGGAGAGGGAGUAAUUAAUUAACAAUAAUUAACCAUCAUAAAAGAACAAACAUAAUACACGAUUUAUAAUUAAAAAAAGUCUGAAGUUGAUUAGAUAUGCAAUAUAACAAUCAAUAAGCAAAAGUCUACCAAUGUUUAAAAUUUAAAGCAUAUAACUACCCAAAAAAAUGUGACAAUGUUAAGGUCGACACUUCCAAGUAACUAAAGUCUCAUAAUAUCAAACACUUAAGUCUUAGAUGAGUCUAUUAGGAUGAGCAGGAUUAGUAAAUGAGCGAGAAGAUGAUGCCAUAUCGCUUAUCAUGCAAGACCAUUGCUCAUCCAUAGAUUUGAAUCGAUCAUCACUUUGUUGCCUCAAACGGAAAACCUCUUGCUCUAGUCGUUGUUGCACCUCCGCCUCUACAUGCUCUUGAAGAACUCUCUCUUGAUUUUCUCUCAUUAGUGACACCUCUUUCUCAAGUAUUUUGAUGCGCUCUUCGGCAACAUGAUCGAAUACUAAAUUUACCAAAUUGACAGAAUUUUGAUCUUUAUACAAGGUUGGAGCUUGAGAGCCCAAUCCAUACAUACAUUAUUUUUCUUGCUCUACCCGCAACAUCAAAGUAUAUUUAUAUCGAGUUCUUGAUCUUCUGAUGAAUCAUCUGAUGAGCCCCAAAGAGCAAUAGCUAUAAUGACCUCCAUUUUAUCCUAAAAAUUACAAAUAAUCAGCCACCAAAUAUUUACUAGAGCAAUGCAGUAAACAAAAACAAGUAAUUUUAUAAGGUUUUCCCACAACAGAGCACACAACAAAGCUGGAGCCUUUCCUUCAAAGUAAAGACAGGGUAGGGCAACAAAACAAUACCAGAAUAUGAUAUUAAGUCAACAAAAAAGGUAUUAUGCAUAUUAUGACCAAGGAAUAUUAUAAAAGUAUUUUUUUUCUUUUUUCCUGAAAAAAAUUAACUUGUGAGGAGCUCAAAAUGCAUGUAAUGAAAAUAAAAGUGAGAUUUGGAUAACAACUAACAAGUAAUUGACACACACAAAAAAAAAAAAUAUAGAAAGCAGUGAGUCAAAUUUAAAGAAUGAAAAUACUCAUAAAAUAGUUUUAAAAUUAAAGUUCAUCUUAUACCAUAAUAUCCAUAUUGUGACCAAGGAAUAUUAUAAAGCAUAUGUAGUGACUAUAUAUAUAAAGAUUUAACCAAAAUGUCCUAAAGUCUCUUUUCUAGUCUCGAAUUGACAAAAGAAUCGAUGCCAGAGUGGGACAUGAGAGCAUGAGUUCUCUUAAUGUAUGCUCUGGGUACUAUCAGAUUCAAAUAGAGCCAGGGGAUUAGGAUAAAACUUCAUUUAUAACUAACUAUGAUAAAUAUCAUUACAAUAUAAUGCCUUAUGGUUUAAAGAGUACAAAUACAACAUAUCAUUGACUGGUAAACCAAAUGUUUGAGAGAUGAAAGACCAUGAAAAUUUACAUCGAUGAUAAGAUUGAUCAUGUAAAAUGAUCAUUCGAGGUAAGUACCAUCUAAGCCACAUCCAAUAGACUUUUAACACACUGAGAAAUCACAUCAUGAAGUUACAUCUCAAAAAGUGUGCAUUUGGGGGUAGAAUCCGGGAAGUUCCUUGACUUUUUUAUAUCUAAUAGAGGGAUAGAAGUUGAUACAAGUACAAUCGUGAUUGUGGACCAAUAAUACGUAAAGGCUCGAGCUCGGGUGGCUGGCCACCCAACGGAACAAGCUUUGAAGUGUAGAGAACAAGUCUCUAACACUCCAAAGCCAUCUAAUAUGCACACUCCAAGGCCGCCACAAUCGUGAUUGUGGACCAAUACGUAAAGGCUCGAGCUCGGGUGGCUGUCCAACCAACGGAAUAAUCUUUGAAGUGUAGAGAACAAGUCUCCAAUACUCCAAAUCCGUCCAAUAUGCACACUCCAAGGCCGCCCCUGUGUCUUGGUUCAUUAAGGGCAUUAUAGUUAUUUUGUAAUAAGUUAUAACCUAGACUAUAAAUAGAACAUAUUAGGUCUUUUGUUCAUAAAUUUGAUGAUAUUUUGAGAGCUCUAUAGAGAGAGUCUUGCAAGGUGGAUUCCUUGUAAACAAGUGUGGAUAUCGCUUGUGUUGGUGCUAGUUUUGAAACGUUGGUUGCUUGGGAAUCCCGUUCCCUUGAGGUCACCGUAGAGCUUGGUGUUACUUGUAUGAAUUCUUGGGUCUUUGUGUUUAAUAUACACUUAGUAUUCUUUGUGUUUGUACACUUGUAUGUCAAGUUACCUAUCUAUCUAUUUAUUUAAUUGUUUUUGUUCAUUCUCGGGUUCGGUGUCCCAAAACCGAGACUUUGUAUUCUUCUUGUUCUUGUGCUUGUGUUGUUAAUCUAGUUUGUUGGCUCGCUGAUUUUAGAGGUGUUGAACACCUUAAUAUCUUGUUGUUAUUGUGUUUUCAUUGUUGUUUUAGUGAAUCCAAGAGUAGUCAUCAAAGGGGUCCUCGAUUCUUCCAACUUGUGGACUGUUUUGGUGUUUGUUUUAUGUCUCCUUUGUCGAUUUUGUAUCAUUUGGUAUCAGAGUCAUCUUUGAUUUUAUUUUAACAAGAUCAAUCUUGGGCUUGAGAGUUGAAAAAUAAAAAAAAAGUAAAGUGUUCUUGAGAUUGUUCUUGGCCGAAAGUUGGGUCUUGUUGUUGUCUUGGCCGAGACAUUUUCUAUGUGACUAGAUCUUGUAGCCUUUUGUUUAUUUAGAUUGUUUCUAGUGUUGGUUUCUUUCUCACCAACACUAAAAGUAUCUAGAUUUAAAGGUUUGAGCUUAUGUUUUUGACCUUGUUGUUGUAAACUUGAAACUGGCUAUGUGGUACAAUUUUUGUGGACUUGAAGAUGAAUAUUGGUGGAGUUGCUAUUGUUCUUGAGAAAUUUUUGUGGUGAUCUUGUUGUUCUUGAAAUGUCUUGACCAAUAUAAAGUAUAGCCUAUAUCCAAAAAGGUGUAACAUAAAGUUAAAAAGUUGUUGGUGAAGAGACUUGAACGCAUCACUUCAUAGACUUGUCAACCACUUUUUCAUAUUUCAAGGACCUUGUUUUGUGAGAAUAGUACAAGUCAAGUCUCGCAUUUUUGAGUUUGAAUUUGAAAAAGAGUUUCUAAGACUUGAAUUUCUCACCAAAUGACAAACUCAUCCAUUCCAAAUUGUAUCAAGUUAAAAGCUUCAAGUUGGUGAUUAAAAAUUAUGUGGGACCGUGACCAAUUAUGUGGAUGCCAAGUCAUCACAUUUUACUAUUCAUGCAACAUAAUUAAGCUCAAAUUUUUUAUUUCUUAGUUUCUAAUUUUUGUAUCUUAGUUGCUUUUUAUUGAUUCUAUUACUAAUUAAUAAACUAUUAAUUUUCAACUAGGUUGUAAGUUACUUUUGGGUUUAUUUGUUUGUGUCUACAUUUCUUUGUGUGCUUUUAUCUUUUUGAAAUUCGUUGUAGUUUCUUGAUUCAAGUCCGUACAUAUUUUCUUUGAGCUAUUUCAAAAAAGAAUCUAUUCCGACAUCGAGCCCCAAUUGGUACCAAGCAAUCUCCUUGGAGUAUAAAUGAGUUACCAACACUUGUGAGUCUAAUUGAGAGACAUUUCAAAGUGUGAGAGCUUAUGAGGAUGUUUUCUUUUCUAACAUCAACUAGUUUGUUGUUUUUUGUAUUUCUGUUUUAGAAUUUCUCUUGUUAAGUACUAUGACAUUGGAAAUAGUGACCAUGAAUGAUUUGAUGGCUGCCAUAAUGGGUAUGAAACAUGACCUUAGUACUCGAAUGGAGAGAAUGGAAAGAAUAAUAGACCGAAUGGAAGGAAAAAUGGAAGGAACAAAAAGCUCUCUUUGCAAGGAGUUUGAUAACUUGAUAGAGCAUCCAAGCCUUCCUAAUCAAGUUUCCAUGAGUGGACAUGCUCCACAUGAGCUACAAGGUAAUCAAAAUAACUCUUGCACUAUAGUGAAUGAGGCUAGUAGCCAACUAAGUGUGAAUGAUAGUUUGUUUUUAGGUGAGCCGAAUGUACCUCCAUUUGUGAUGAUAAUGUACAACUUGAUAUUGUGGAAACACUAGUUGAUCCAUCUAGUGUUGAAGCCAUUGUGGCAAGUGAUAGUACAUUGUCUUAUGGAAGUCAUGAAGACCAACUUGUGUGUGAAAAUGGUGAUGUUGAACGUGUUGGUCGAUUGACUAAGGAUGACCCUCUAGUUGUUUUUGUUGUAUACCAUCCUAGUAUAGAGGGUAUAUAUGAUUGUACUAGUGGUAGUAUUGGGAAAAGGAAAUGCAUCCUAAACCCAAGUCCAUGGACACUCCACCCAUUUGAUCCCAGUGAUAAUUUGAAGCAUGGUGAUGAGGAUGUCUUUUGGAAUGGGUUGAAUUUACAUGGAAUGUAUGGCCUUCUUAUCUUGGCUUUCAGGCCUAUUUUUUGUUCCAUGAAGAGUUUAUGUUUCACACUUGAUGAGCAGUUCUUGAUACUUGUUUCUUGUUACACUUGUGUGGAUACACUAACUGACUCUUUCUUGGGAGGGUAUUCAGGUAAGAGGGAUGUUUGGGUGUAUAUGAAGUUUGAGCCACCUUUUCAAGAUGCUAUGUUUGAUUAAAAUUCUCUUCUUUUUUCUUCUUGUUUCUUGUCACACUUUAAUGGAUAGAGAAGUACUUCUUUUGGUGCUUAGAAAGGUAUCCUAUUCCCUAAGGUCCCACGGCAUGUGUAUAAUGUACACUCGUGGACCAAUAUGUAAAGGCUCGAGCUCGGGUGGCUGGCCAACCAAUGGAACAAGCUUUGAAGUGUAUAGAACAAGUCUCUAACACUCCAAAGCCUUCCAAUAUGCACACUCCAAGGCCGCCCCUUUGUAUUGGUUCAUUAAAGGCAUUAUAGUCAUUUUGUAAUAAGUUAUAACCUAGACUAUAAAUAGAACAUAUUAGGUCUUUUGUUUAUAACUUUGAUGGUAUUUUGAGAGCUCUAGAGAGAGAGUCUUGCAAGGUGGAUUCCUUGUAAACAAGUGUGGAUAUCGCUUGUGUUGGUGCUAGUUUUGAAAUGUUAGUUGCUUGGGAAUCCCAUUUCCUUGAGGUCACCGUAGAGCUUGGUGUUACUUGUAUAAAUUCUUGGGUCUUUGUGUUUAAUAUACACUUAGUAUUCUUUGUGUUUGUACACUUGUAUGUCAAGUUACCUAUCUAUCUAUUUAUUUAGUUGUUGUUGUUGUUCAUUCUUGGGUUUGGUGUCCCAAAAUUGAGACUUUGUAUUCUUCUUGUUCUUGUGCUUGUGUUGUUAAUCUAGUUUGUUGGCUCGCUUAUUUUAGAGGUGUUGAACACCUUAAUAUCUUGUUGUUAUUAUGUUUUCAUUGUUGUUUUAGUGAAUCCGAGAGUGGUCAUCAAAGGGGUCCUCGAUUCUUCCAACUUGUGGACUGUUUUGGUGUUUGUUUUGUGUCUCCUUUGUUGAUCUUGUAUCAUUUGGUAUUAGAGUCAUCUUUGAUUUUAUUUUAGCAAGAUCAAAUUUGGUCUUGAAAGUUGAAAAAAAAAAGUGAAGUGUUCUUGAGAUUGUUCUUGGCCGAAAGUUGGGUCUUGUUGUUGUCUUGGCCGAGACAUUUUCUAUAUGACUAGAUCUUGUAGUCUUUUGUUUGUUUAGAUUGUUUCUAGUAUUGGUUUCUUUCUCACCAACACUAAAAGUAUCUAGAUUUAAAGGUUUGAGCUUAUGUUGUUGACCUUGUUGUUGUAAACUUGAAAUUGGCAAUGUGGUACAAUUGUUGUGGACUUGAAGAUGAAUAUUGGUGGAGUUGUUGUUAUUCUUGAGAAAUUUUUGUUGUGGUCUUGUUGUUCUUGAAAUGUCUUGACCAAUAUAAAGUAUAACCUAUAUCCAAAAAGGUGUAACAUAAAGUUAAAAAGUUGUUGGUGAAGAGACUUGUCAGCCACUUUUCCAUAUUUCAAGGACCUUGUUUUGUGAGAAUAGUACAAGUCAAGUCUCGCUUUUUUGAGUUUGAAUUUGAAAAAGAGUUUCUAAGACUUGAAUUUCCCACCAAAUGAAAAACUCAUCCAUUCCAAAUUGUAUCAAUACAAAAGCUUCAAGUUGGUGAUUAAAAAUUAUGUGGGACCGUGACCAAUUACAUGGAUGCCACAUCAUCACAUUUUACUAUUCAUGCAACAUAAUUAAGCUCAAAUUUUUGAUUUCUUAGUUUCUAAUCUUUAUAUCUUAGUUUCCCUUUGUUGAUUCUAUUACUAAUUAACAAACUAGUAAUUGUCUACUAGGUUGUAAGUUAGUUUUGGGUCCAUUUAUUUGUGUCUACAUUUCUUUCUUGAUUCAAGUCCGUACGUAUUUUCUUUGAGUUGUUUCAAAAAUGAAUCUAUUCCGAUCUCUAGCCCCAAUUGGUACCAAGCAAUCUCCUUGGAGUAUAAACGAGUUACCAAUACUUGUGAGUCUAAUUGAGAGACAUUUCAAAGUGUGAGAGCUUGUGAGGAUGUUUUCUUUUCUAACAUUAACUAGUUUGUUGUUUUUUGUAUUUUUCUUUUAGAAUUUCUCUUGUUAGGUACUAUGACAUCGGAAAAGGUGACCAUGAAUGAUUUGAUGGCUUCCAUAAUGGGUAUGAAACAUGACCUUAGUACUCGAAUGGACAGAAUGGAAAGAAUAAUAAACCGAGUGGAAGCAAAAAUUGAAGGAACGAAAAGCUCUCUUUGCAAGGAGUUGGGUAACUUGAUAGAGCAUCCAAUCCUUCCUAAUCAAUCUCCCAUGAAUGGACAUUCUCCAUAUGAGCUACAAGGUAGUCAAACUAACUCUUGAACUAUAGUGAAUGAAGCUAGUAGCCAACUAAGUGUGAAUGAUAGUUUGUCUUUAGGUGCGCCGAAUGUACCUCCAUUUGGUGAUGAUAAUGUACAACUUGAGAUUGUGGAAACACUAUUUGAUCAAUCUAGUGUUGAAGUCAUUGUGGCAAGUGAUUGUACAUUGUCUUAUGAAAGUCAUGAAGACCAACUUGUGUGUGAAAAUGGUGAUGUUGAACAUGUUGGUCGAUUGACUAUGGAUGACCCUCUAGUUGUUUUUGUUGUAGACCAUGCUAGUAUAGAGGGUAUAUAUGAUGGUACUAGUGGUAGUAUUCGGAAAAGGAAAUGCAUCCUAAACCUAAGUCCAUGGACACUCCACCCAUUUGAUCCCGGUGAUAAUUUGAAACGGAUGUCUUUUGGAAUGGCUUGAAUGUACAUGGAAUGUAUGACCUUCCUAUCUCGACUUUCAGACCUAUUUGUUGCUCCAAGAAAAGUCUAUAUUUUUCACUUGAUGAGCAUUUCUUGAUACUUGGUUCUUGUCACACUUAUGUGGAUACACUAACUGACUCUUUCUUGGGAGGGUAUUCGGGUAAGAGGGAUGUUUUGGUGUAUGUGAAGUUUGAGCCACCUUGGAAAGAUGCUAUGUUUGAUUACACUUCUCUUUUUUUUUGUCUUGUUUCUUGUCACACUUUAAUGGAUAGACAUACUUUUUUUUGUGCGUAUAAGGGUAUUCUAUUCCCUAAGGUCCCACGACAUGUGUAGAAUGUACACUCGUGGUUUGAUAAUUUUUUUUGUUGAUUGUGCUAACGUUAACCCUCAUGUCAUGAGGAAUAUGUGUUCUUUUGUUUCCUCUAUUAUUUUGCAAGGUUCGGAUUUGAGGUCGAAUUAUUUUCAAAAAGGGGAGGAUGAUACAAGUACAAUUGUGAUUAUGGACUAAUACGUAAAGGCUCAAGCUCAGGUGGCUAGCCAACUAAUGGAACAAGCUUUGAAGUGUAGAGAACAAGUCUCCAACACCCCAAAGCCAUCCAAUAUUCAUACUCCAAGGUCGCCACAAUCGUGAUUGUGGACCAAUAUGUAAAGGCUCGAGCUCGGGUGGCUGGCCAACCAACGGAACAAGCUUUAAAGUGUAUAGAACAAGUCUCCAACACUCCAAAGCCGUCCAAUAUGCACACUCCAAGGCCGCCCCUUUGUCUUGGUUCAUUAAGGGCAUUAUAGUCAUUUUGUAAUAAGUUAUAACCCAGACUAUAAAUAGAACAUAUUAGGUCUUUUGUUCAUAACUUUAAUGAUAUUUUGAGAGCUCUAGAGAGAGAGUCUUGCAAGGUGGAUUCCUUGUAAACAAGUGUGGAUAUCGCUUGUGUUGGUGUUAGUUUUGAAAUGUUGGUUGCUUGGGAAUCCCGUUCCCUUGAGGUCACCAUAGAGCUUGGUGUUACUUGUAUGAAUUCUUGGGGCUUUGUGUUUAAUAUACACUUAGGUUCAUAAUGUUUGUAUAUUUGUAUGUCAAUUUACCUAUCUAUCUAUUUAUUUCAUUCUUGUUGUUGUUCAUUCUCGGGUUUGGUGUCCCAAAACCGAGACUGUGUUUUUCUUAUUUGUGUGCUUGUGUUGUUAAUCUAGUUUGUUGGCUCGCUGAUUUUAGAGGUGUUGAACACCUUAAUAUCUUGUCGUUAUUGUGUUUUCGUUGUUGUUGUAGUGAAUCCGAGAGUGGUCAUCAAAGGGGUCCUCGGUUCUUCCAACUUGUGGACUAUUUUGGUGUUUGUUUUGUGUCUCCUUGUCGAUCUUGUAUCAGAAGUGAAUCCAAACAAAAUUAAAGUGAUUGAGGAAAUUAUCUCAAUGUAUCUGUUUUUUACACAGAUAGUACAACCAUGGAAAAAUACCUUACAUUGCAAUUACCGCAACAGGAAACACAAUGCAGUAAACAAAAGCAAACAACUUUACCUCGUCGAGGAUAGUUAUAAUUUCAAUUACCUCAGCAUAAUAUACAAUUACCUUAGAUUGCAAUUACCGCAAUAGAACACACAAUUACCUUAGAUUUGUUAUGUUUCCACUCAUGCUAUUUGCAUGCUUACACUUGCCUUAAACAACAUAUAUAUGGACAUUCCACAAGUGGUGUCUAGGAAUAAUAGUGUGUAUGUAGACCUUGCCCCUACCUCAUCGAGGUACAGGGGUUGCUUCCAUAACUCAAGUGUAGCAAAUAAAAAUUGAAAUUACCUUAAACAGGCCAUGAAUUUGCUUUCAAAACACAAGAAGUCCAUAGUUGUUGCUGAACAUCUUACUUUCUUUACAAAUUUUAUUUUCAACAAUUUGCCUAUUGCAAAGAUAUGAAACAUAAAGAUCUAACAUAUGAGAAUUGUCAUAUUCAAUACUGGAACAGCACGAUACAAUGCAAAAUAAUAAAUUUUAUCAGUCAUCAAGUCAUAAACAUGAAAUCACAAAGAAAUCAAUUUCAGAGAAAACCAUGCUAGAUUGAUACUUCAUCCUUUAGCAGCUUCUUGUAAGUUAUGUGUGUGGAUAGGAACUAUAAAUAUCAGAUUCUAAUGGCCUAUUCAAUCAAUAUUUUAAUAACCAUAUGAACUCAACAGGCUUCGGUUCUUUUAUACCGAGAAAUCUAUUUGGCGUCAACCUUUAGGACCAACUGCACCUUUUAAACUCGGAGAAGAUAAACCCAAGCAGAUAUUUAAAAUACAUGUUUAAUUUAUUAACAACUUCAUUCAAGGUCUUGAUGCAUCAUAAAUCCAAGCAGAUAAUCUCUCUGAAGUUUGGUAUCAUAACACAUUAGAAGGACUACCAAUUAGGUAGAACAACAUAGCUAGUUCAAUUUCACAAGGUGGGCUUGGGGAGGGUACUGAGGGUACUACAUAUACAGACCUUACAACCUUGGGAGGUAGAGUGACAACUUUUAUAAAAAAUUCCCACAACCAAAGGAACCAACAGAAAAAAAAGAGAACAGAAAAGUCUAAGAGAGAAACACGUUCGCAGGUACACACACGAGAUAUUUAUAAUAUGGGUAAACCUAUAGUAUUAAGUGAAAAAAUCUUCUUCAAAGAUUCAAAAAUGGGUAUGUUUAGCCUUACAAAUUUUUAGUAAAACAUUCUUUAUAGCUAUGCAAUGUACUAGUUUAUUAAUAUUAAGAAAUGAGUUUAUACCGGAGAGUUUUAAAUUCCAUGCUAUUCGUUGUUGUUGGACAAGAGUAUAUCCAGGUCUAGGUUUUCAUACAUAUAAGGACUAAGAGCGCGACUUUAAUCGCACAGAGAAGAAUACAAAAACUCAUACAAUUUCAUCCCAAAAGACAGAGCAGAAAUCACCGUAGAAGACCAAGAGGAGAUUCUAUAUUUACUGUCUUUGUGCGCAGAGGAACUAACCUUCAUUGAGACUCAACAAAUUAUCAGUCAUAAGAUUUACAUUAAAAUUUAUACUCGCAAGCAACUAACAGACACAUGUUUAGGAAGAAGAAUGUCUGGAGGUACACACACGAGAUAUUUGUAUUAUGGGCAGACCUAUAGUGUUAGGUGAAAAAAUCUUAUUCAAAGCUCCAAAACUAGGUAUAUUUAGCCUUACAACUUUUUAGUAAAACAUUCUUUAUAACUAUGCAGUGUACUAGUUUAUUAAUAUAUAAGAAAUGAGUAUAUAUCGAAGAGUUUUCAAUUCUGUGCUAUUCGUUGUUGUUGGACAAGAGUACAUCUAGUUCUAUGUUUUCAUGCAUAUAAGGACUAAGAGCACGACUUUAAUCACAGUGAGAAGAACACAAGAACUCAUACAAUUUCAUUCGAAACGGCAGAGCAAAAAUCUCUGUAGAAGACCAAGAGGAGAUUUAAUAUAUAUUGUCUUAAUGCGCAGAGGAACUAACCUCCGUUGUGACUCAACAAAUUAUCAUUUACAAGAUUUACAUUAAAAGUUAUACUCGCAAGCAACUAACAGACAUAUGUUUAGGCAGAAGCAUGUCCGCAGGUAGACACACGAAAUAUUUUAUUAUGGGCAGACCUAUAGUGUUAGGUGUAAAAAGCUUCUUCAAAGCUCCAAAACUGAAUAUAUUUAGCCCUACAACUUUUCAAUAAAACAUUCUUUAUAGCUAUGCAAUGUACUAGUUUAUUAAUAUUAAGAAAUGAGUAUAUACCAAAGAGUUUUCAAUUUCGUGCUAUUCGUUAUUGAACAAGAGUACAUCUAGGUUUAGGUUUUCAUGCAUAUAAGGACUAAGAGCGCGGCUUUAAUCAUAGUGAUAAGAAUACAAAAACUCAUAUAAUUUCAUCCUAAACGGAAGAGCAUAAAUUACCGUAGAAGACCAAGACGAGAUUCUAUAUAUACUAUCUUUGCGCGUAGAGGAACUAACCUCCGUUGUGACUCAACACAUUAUCAUUCAGAAGAUUUACAUUAAAAGUUAUACCCGCAAGCAACUAACAGACACAUGUUUAGGCAGAAGCACAUUCGCAGGUAUACACAAGAGAUAUUUGUAUUAUGGGCAGAAUUAUAGUAUGAUGACAAAGACAACAAUGGCAUCUUUAACCAGAAAGGUUAUUUUUACAUACAAACGCACUAUUAUGCACUAGUAAUUUCUAUUAACAUAUAUACAUCCAAAUAAAACUAAGACAUAUACACAGACACCUAAGACAAGGACAUUACUUAGACAGAUGAUAUUAUGAAAAUACAGUGGUUUUAAUUUAAAUGCAAAGUAAAUUCCAUCGAGGCUCAACUAUCGAGCAUUCUCUUAAGUUAAAUGCAUGCCAUUACUCGACAGAUGAUAUCAUUCUCGAGGCACAAAUUCGAGACCUUUAGUAAAGGCGGGAUCUCAAUCAUCCCACCAUUGGAGAUGAUCGAUAACAUUACAGUGACUAGAAUAGAAGAUGAAGAGAAAGACAGUGAAGACAAGAAGAAGGCUCAACUUACAUUAAUGCUCUUUGACUUGGCAUCAACAAAACUGUCAUCCUUUUUUUGGUGCAACUUCUUAAAUAUAUCCCAUGAAUUUUGUUCACGGCCCAUUUCUGUUGCCUGAAAAAAAUGUUCAACAUUAAAAUCAGAGAUAAAGUUUAAAAAAAAUUCAAUUAAAGUACAAAUUUAUCAUUUUUAUAGUGUGCUCCACUGUUGACCUGGAACCACCGGUAUGUUUGCUUGGAUCGGUGUUCUGACCACCAGUUUCACUACAUCGAUUUUGAGUUGCAAUAUGAGAUUUGUUCUUAAACUCAUCAGAAGCCCAAUAUAUCUUUCAGCUUUUCCCAACAUCAUCCGACACAAAAUUAAAUUUUUUUAUUUUUCUUCACCACUGAUAUAUUUUUUUGUAUAUAAGUUGGAUGUCAUCUUCUUUCAGGUGCGUUCGAUUAUGGAGUUCUCUGUAGGAUUCAACUGAUAUAAUUCCUAGAAAAAAUUUAGUUAGAGACAUAAACACAACAACAACAACAUUAUAAAUUUUUAAUAUAAAGCAAUAUUUAUAAGGAAUUCAUGCCAAUAGAAUUUACGAGUGGAUUCAGUAGCACCCCUCCAUGUGUAUCCAGUAGCAUGUUGUCGUUCCUUAAAAUUUUUUGUAAUUGUCUUUGAGAUAGAAUAACAUUGUCUUUGAUAUAGAAUAACCAUUAGGGACAAACCUGAAAUAUAUUAUAAGGAGUAAAUUAUACAUUUAAUGAAAUUUAUUUUUUUAAAAAGGUAAAUAACUUUUGUAAAAAUAUCUGCUCUUACUUUUCCCCGACAACUGAUAUGACCAACCGUCUAGUUGUCGAUGAGCUGCUACUAGACCCAAUAGGGAUAUCUAUGGAACCAGGAGUAUCAGGAGAAUCAAAAACUAAUGAUGGAGUAUCACUCAUAUUCUAAAAUGACAAUUAUUCUAUAACUACAAAAUAAAGUUCUUGAAAAAAGAAACUUUUAGCCUUCAUAACUCAAGUUUUAUAUUUUACAUGACUUAAGAAAGAUACAUUAGUGAAGACUCCACCGAAUCUAAAUAAUCAAAAACUUUCAAUGAUCAGGUUGGAUCAUUGAUAAAUAUGAUCGGAUAUUUAUGACCAAAAGUUCCACAAUAAAUAAAAAAAGUUUAUAUGUUGCGCAAUACUAUGACGCAUUAAUAAUUUUUAUAUCAAAAUAAAUUAAUCUCCUAACAAGUGAUUCAUAACGAUCAAAUUUAUAGAAUAGUACAUUCAAAAUCAUAUUCAUCAAGAAAUACAAAUAUUCAAAAAUUAGAUUCUUUUUCUUUUCUUUUUAUGAAACUCACAUUCCUCCUCAUUUUUCUCCCCUUCCCUCCCCCUUCCCUCCUCCCCAUCAUCAUCAUGAUCAUGAUCAUCAUAGUUGUCCUUAUCCUCAUCUUCAUUAUCGUCUUCGUCCUCAUCCUGUUCUCAUCCUUCUCUCUCCUAUCCCCCUCUUUCUUAGUGUCCUCCUCCAUGUCAUUAAGCGUACGAUCUGGAUCAUUCAAUGUAUUAAGUAUUCUAUUUUUAUCAAUAUCAAUCUCAUGUAUUUGACUAUCAUCCUCUUGAAAAGCUGGAUCAUUCAAUAUAUGAGGUUGCUCUACUUUUUUGGAAAUAUCUACAAUAGAGUGUGCUUUUAUUGGGCAAACGGCUAACCAUUCACUCGUCUUUUUUACUGUAGGAUACAUUUUAAAAUACACUUGAGAUGCUUGCACAUCCAUCAUACAUGAUUCAUAUUUAUUAAAGACUCUUCUCUUGUUAACAUCAACAAGAUUAUACAGUGGAUGUACUCUUGUACUAUGCUUUGGCGUCAAAUCAAACCAUGAACACUUAAAUAACACGGUUCGCUUGAAUGUUAAUACAUUAUACUCUAGUUGUAAAAUCUCUAUCAAUCGACCAUAUUAAUCGAUAUUAUCUGCACUAUGGCUAGAGAUCCUGAUGCAUACACCACUAUUCAUCGUAGAUUUAUUUGAACCGUAUUUUUCAGUGUGAAAAUUGUAACCAUUUACGACAUAUCCAUUAAAGGGCUGAACCAUAUGUAAUGGUCCUUCUUCAAGAUCUUUCAUAAUUUGAUUGGUAAUGUUGGAAGAAGGAUCUCGUGCCUAUUGACAUUAUAAAUAAUUUGACAUCGAUUAAGAUUGCAUUUUAUGAAUAAUAACAAAUAAUUAAGAAUAAUUUUGUAACGCCAUGGAUUUUGAACUCCGGACGCUACAUGGUGCUUAUGAUCCUGAAAGACCACAACCUAACCCAUGACUGAUAUAUGUAACUGAGCACUAAAUAAUAUACUAUAAAAUGAGGAAAGUUAACAGAAAAUUUACCAUAAGUUUCAAUACUGAAAUAAAACUGAAUAAAAUAUAACAAUACCAAAACUAAAACAAUUGUCUGAAAGUACUCUAGUCUGAAAAAACCUCUAAACUGUCUGAAUAAAAAGUUGAUUAGAAAAUCCCCCAAUGAACUCCAUCUACUGAAAUGUUAAAUCUAAUGAAAUAAUAAAAUAAGAAACAUUCUCGAAUGAUGAGGACUCACUGCUAAGUCGACUACUGCUGGCUGAAUCUGAACUGCUAAGAGUGCUCGGGAUCCCGUGCUUUUGGACCUAUGGUAUAAGACACCAUAGCGCAAGAUAAAAGUAUGUGUCUGUAUGUGAGAAUGUAUUGGUAUGCUAGAUGAGGUAAGGCUGAAUGCAAGGGUUCAUAUGCAUGAACUGUAACUGACUACGCAACGUGAACAUGACUGAGUGAGAAUGCAGGCAUAAGUGCAUAAACUAUAACUGAAAUUAUAGUAUCACUGAAUACUGAAUUCUAAUAACUGGAUUUCUGAUAACUGAGUCUACUGAUACUAAUAUCUGAUUGACCGAAGUUGAGAUCAGGUUUAUCUAGCAGGUAAUCUCUGAAUCUACUGAUAAUGAAAAUAAUUGACUGAAUCUGAGAUCAAGCCUAUCUAGCGGGUGAUCUCUGAGUCUAUAGAACUAUCUAAGUUCUUUACUAAGCUGAGUGACUGUGUCUAAUAGUCCUGAUUUCCGUAAUACUGAUCUGAGUUCUAUUCUGAAGACUAAGACUGAAACUGUGAUAGGUAGCCAUCUCAUCGACAUGCCCCUUUCUGAACUAAUUGGGGUCCAACCUGUAACUCCAGUUAGAAGGGUGUCAGUACUGUACUACGGGUAAAUACAACUGCUAUGAAGUUAAUCCUAAUCUAACGGGUGACCCCUUAGAUCAGUCCUAAACUAGCGGGUGAUCUCUGAGUAUGUCAGUCCUAUCUAAUGGGUGACAUCUCAUACCUACGUUGGCUACGUAGUUCUGGAACUUAGAGAUUUAUUCUAGGGAUCCAGUCCUCACUAACGGGUGUACCCCCAUCCCUAGGCUCGCUCAGUGUUGAAUCCUACUCAUAACGAAAAGACAAUGUACUGAUUUCCUAGUUCAUACUAGGCCUGACUGAGCUGUUACUGAUCGUACUAUUUAACUGAACUGAACUGAGUUACUGAGUUUCAUUGACUGAUGGAAUACUACUGAAUUCUGUUAACUGACUGAAUGAUACUGAGUUCUAAAUUAAUUUACUGAGCUGAACUGGACUGAUACUGAGGUUAUUGAGUUAUCCUAAGUUCGUAACUGACUGAGUUCUAUUGAUUAUGGCAUGACUGAGAUUGUCUUGAAACUGACACUGGCUCUAGGCACACAGCUAAAUUAUCGGGUAUUAAAUACCCCCAGGACUUGAUAGCAUUGAUAAUAUGAAGCAUGACAAUUCUUGAAUAACAUUACAAUAGUCUAUCAUUCACAAUACAAUCAAUGAGGCAUUUCAUCUAGCACUUGAAAGUCAUAAACUUGUAAAUGUAUAGAGAAGCAUAUUAAUGUCUCAUGAUUCAUUCAAUAAGGUUUUUCAUCAAAUACUUGGCAUGCAUUAGCUUAUACAUAAUUGGGAAUUUCUUGUCAGCAUGCUAUAAUGACUCUAUCUCAUUCACAUAGGCCUUUUAUAAAACAUAUGGGGAGCAUGCUUUAGUCAUACAACUAUCAAUACAUCUAAAUCAUCAUGGCUACAUCAACUCACUUGCAAAUUUAAGGGUUUAUUAUGAAUAUUAUGUAAGUCAUCAUAUACUAGGAGCAAAUCAUGAAACUUGUAAUCUAAGACAUGAAUCAACACCCAACAACAACAUGAUUAUGAAUAUCAACUCACAUAAUUCAUGAAAACUCAUAAAUAUAUAAUCUUUGAAUUUAGAAAAAGGAUUCUUGAACUUCAUGGGUGGAAGGGACCCAUGAAUCAACAUUUAAUAUACCUUAAUACUUGACUUUAAGAAGAUUGACAGUGAAAUUCUUGAGUUUUGAGUCUUGAACUAAGAACCCUAAUGCUUGUUCUUGAGAGAAUUUGGGAGAAAGCAAGCGUACUUUGGUGAAAAUGCCUGAAUCUCGUGUUUUAGAGAUAUAUAGGAGUGGAAAAAAGACUGAAAUAACCCUGGGGUCGCGACUAUUUUAAUGACUGAUAACUGGAUACCGACGCGCUGGUUGACGCACCGUGUCAUUGGCAUCGACGAGAUAGCCAAUGCACCGUGUCGACAUCGCGUUGGCUCACUGAAUAUUGCCUUGAGCUGAGGAACAUUUUAUCUGUCGAUACGAUGGAUGACGUGACGUGCCAACAUCACGUCAACUCACUAUUCUGGACACUAAAACUUAUUCUAAAUGAGGUUUGAAAAAUUUGAAACUCGUCUGGGAAUCAUCCUUGAUCAUGAAUUAACUAAGAUAUAGACAUUUAAAGGACUUUAAGGUCGUGAAAUGAGAUUGCCAACUUUCGAAGGCUAAAAAUAAACUAAGUCUGAAAAUUUAGCUAGAAUUUUCUAAGUCUGGGACACCUUGGCAAGCAUUAAUGGACUGGACUAAGCUUAGGAUUUUGCAGGGUCUUACAAAUAUAGACUUAUUAAUACUUACAUAUUUUUCAAAUCAAGAUGCAAACUCUGUUUCAAGUUUAACAUCAAUCUCGUUAUCUUGAAUACAUGGUUGUAUUUGUCUUAAGAUGUCUUCAUAAAUUCUGAAGAAAAAAAAAAGCUAAUUUAAUUUCAAUAUCAAAUUUUUUUCAUAAAUAUUUAUAGAUAAUUCAUAAUUAACUUAAUUAAUAUAUGGUUUUACUUCAUCACAAUUCAACAAAAUAUAUGUACGAGCUACGUGAUAUUCUUGAUCAUCUAACCUCCUCUCCUCUUUUUCAGCUUACCGAAUCGUCGAUCAGCUUGCUUAAAAACAGAAAGCAUUUCAGGAUGGUCCUGUUCAACUCCACCAUCAUCUAAAUUUCGUGGCACUUUUCUGUGUCGUGUCGGAAUGUGUGACUUAAAGUAGUGCGCACAAAAUAAAGAUGUUUCUUCAAUUAAAUAUGUGUUGCUUAUAGAUGCUUCAACCUUAUUCUUAUUUUUUGACAUUAUUCUUGUAUCUACGAAAAUUCCUUCAAACAUUAAAGUAUGUCAAUAUGGUAUAAUUGAUAUAUUUAUUUACAUAUAUUAUAACAUAUAAUUAACUUUAUCUACCUCUCAGUCGGACACAUUCAUCGUCCUUGAACCGGGCUCGCUAAACGUGCUUCAUAAGCUAAAUGAAUAGAAACAUAUUCCGUAGAAUCCUAGAAGCUUGGAGGAAAAAUGCGCUCAAGCUUACUCAAGAUGAGAGAAAUAUUUUCUUCUAAUUAUCUCAUGUGUUCCUCUGUGAUUAUUGUAGAGGUGAGAUCUUUAAAGAAAAGACUCAACUCCAACAAUGAUUGUCACAUAAUACGUGAAAGCAAUUCUCGAAAUACAAUAGGUAUUAACCGUAGCAUAAACACAUGACAAUCAUGACUCUUCAUAUCAACAAGUUUAAGCUUAUUCGUGUCAACACAUCUUCCCAGAUUAGACACAUAACCAUGAGGAAAUCUCAACUCUUGCAACCAUUUACAAAGCACUUCUUUAGCAUUAUCAUCUAGCAUACAACAAGCCUUUGGAUAUUUUUUGGUACUUUCAUUCUGAUGUAACUCUGGACGAUGGUAAAGUAGUUUUAAAUCUUCUCUAGAUUUUACAUUUGCCUUUAUUUUUUCCUUGACAUUCAUCAAGUAUUGAAGAUAUUAUAAAAAAAAAAUUGAUAUGCAUCGGAUCAAGGUUAUGCCUAAUAGAAUUUGUUUUCCAGUAAGACAAGUCCCAAAAAAUACUUCUUUUCUUUCGACCACAUGCGCUAUUCUUUAAAAUUUUGACAUUUAUCGCAUCAGAAUCAAGUUCUGUCACUUUCAUGAGUCCCAAGUCCUCAAACUCCUUAAGUAUUUGUACACCCGAUUAUUUAGUAAAUGCAAUCUUCUGUACUAUUUCACUUCUCUUGAACCACUUUUUAUUUCUUAGUCAUGAAUGAUUUGGUGGUAAGAACUUUAUAUGAUUAUCAAACCAUGAGAUCUUUCUAUCAUUGGGUAGUGAAAAAGCAUCAGAAUCUUUCAUGCAAUAAGGACAAGCUAAUUUUCCUGAUGUACUCCAACCCGAUAACAUUGAAUAUGCAGGAAAAUCACUUAUUGUCCACAUCAAUGCAAAUUUUAUUUGAAAAUUAUUUUUACUUGAAACAUCAUAUGUUUAAAUUCCCUCAUCAUAUAAUUCAUUUAACUCUUGAAUGGGAGGCUGCAAAAAGACAUCGAUUUUUUGUUUUGAAUUUUUGGAAUUAGGUAUAAUCACAGACAAAAACAUGUAUUCAUCCCUCAUGCACAUCCAAGGUGGCAAAUUAUAUGGUGUAAGUAUCAUAGGCCAAGAAGAAUAUUGUGGGCCAAAUUAACCAAAUGGUUGAAAACCAUCAAUUGACAAACCCAAUCUAACAUUUCUCACUUCAAAUGCAAAAGAAGGGUGUGCCUGAUCAAACUAUUUCCAAGCAGGAGAGUCAGAGGAAUGACGCAUCACACCAUCUCUUUCAUGCUCAGAAUACCAUCUCAUAUGUUUUUCUGUAGCAUCGGAUGCAUAUAAUCUUUAUAAAUGCGAAGCUAAAGGAAAAUGUACAUCUUCUUAUAAGAAAUAUUAGUUUUUUUCUUAAAAUAUUGAUGUUUUGAUCUCUUAAAUCGAGAGUAAGAACAAAACUUGUAAUUGACAAGUUCCUUAUCCUCCCGCCAUAAAGCAUACAAUCGUAUUUGCAACAAUCAAUAUUUACAAUCGGUAAGCCCAAUCCUCUCAUUAGCUUUUUGGUACUAUAAAAGCUAUCUAUCAUUACGUUAUCAGUUGGCAUCAGUUCUGAUAUAAAUUAACACAACUCAUCAUACAAUCUUUCAGAAAAAUAAUGUUCCGCUUUAGAUUCAACAAACGAGCAACGAUAGAUAAUUGUGUGUGUCCAUGUGAAUUUUUGACCAAAUUUCUUGUUCCGAUGCUUUGAGCAAAUUAUAAAGAUUUUGUGUUGUGGGAUUUGAAUCCUCCUCUAUUUUAUCAUCAUAAGAAGGCCCGACAACAUCAAAAAUCAUAGCUCAAAAUUUAUUAUGAGUCUGAGAAUUUCACGGUUUCACCUGAAGCUGAAGCUUCUUCUUGAUGAUUACCAAGCACGCUUGAAUUUGGAAUGUAAGAGCUUUAUGAUGAUGCUAACGAUAAUAAUUCGGUACAAAGUCAUUAUUUUCAAGAUGUGUCAUAACUGUAAACUCAUCCAAAAUAUUUUUAUUUCGACACUUACGAUGAUUUCACCGUCCAUAUAUUCUGAAUGACUGUAGAAAAUUCAAAAGAGCUCUCAACCCCAUUAAUAAAUCUGAAAUGUAUGAAUCCAUCCGCCAACAAUCUAUCAUGCAUUCAUUCACGGUCAAAAUUAUUCAUAUCGUGCACUCUGAAAUCGAAUAAAUAUGUUAAAACUUACGUGUUGACAAGUUAUUUUCAUAUAACAGUAUAACAUAUAUAUAAAUUUGAGCCUACAAAUAAUGAUACCAUAGAAAUGAUGAAAUUUUAGGAAGUGUUCUAAUUUCUAGUCUUACAUAGUUUGUUUCUUUGGGAAAUUUGAUUACACAUUAUUUGUAUUGUGUAUAAUUCAAACUCAACAGGAAAACUGUACAUACAGGGCAAAUUGUCAAACUCUAAAUCCAUAUUCAUAGAUUUAAAAACAUAACCAAUAACAUCAACAAACUAAAAGAUGAAUAUCCAUCAAUCCAAAUCUGUAAAUUAACCACCCAAACCACAUCCAUCUUGAACAGGAAAGCUUGACAAUUCCAAAAAAAAUCAUCAUGAAGCAUCUUAUAGUGUCGUUUUGCUACUCAUAAACAAACUAUCAACACAAAAAUGAAAAACUAACAAGCAAAUCAAAACUGAAAAUGCAUAAAAAUUGAAAGAUCUACAACCAGAUCAGAAAUGAAACAAACAGUUCAAAAAUAACCAUUUUAAAACAUAUCUAACUACAACAACAACACAAGACAAUAGUUCAAAAAUCACAAAAAUAAUUCAUUGACAAAUGCUCUAGUCCUUUCUUCAUACCAGUUCAGCACAUAGAAACAUGUAAAGUCAAAUACAUAAAGUUCUUGGAUCAUAAAUUUUACACAAAAUGAAACGAUUCUUUAAAGUUAUAACGAAAACAAUCAAAUCGAAGCAAAGGGUUAUUGCUCUCAAAAUCUUUUGAGGAUUAUUGCUCUCAUAACCGAAGCUUAUGCAAAGGAUUAUUGCUCUCCUAAACAAGAAGAAGAAUAGAACGUACCUCAAAUAAAGAUUUCUGUCAAAAUAGGAGAGGAAUCGAGAACUGAAACAAAGGAUUAUUGCUCUCCAAUACCUUUCUGCCUCAAAGUUUCUAUGUUUUGAGGGAACUGAAAAGAUGUAAAGAAAAAUUGAGGGAAAAUGAAAAUAGAGAAAAAUUUUAAGGAAACAAUGCGACAAAUUCUGCUGAGGAAACAAAUCGAUCAAAGAUAUAUAUAUUUUUUAAUUUUAUUGUGACGGAAUAAAUCCAUCACAAAUUUUUAUUAUAUUAGCUUGUAAAAAAAAAAUUAUUGUGAUGGAAUGCUCAAUCUGUCACAAAUUUAGUAACAGAUUUGUGACAGAAAGUUAUUAUUUUUUCUCAUCAAUUUUAAUUUGUGACAAUAAAAUAUCUGUCACAAAAAUUAUAUUUAAAUCUGUCAAAAAUUUAUCAUAAAUCUGGUACUCUUUGAAUUUUUAUGUGAAAAUAAAAAAAAAUUAUAUUUAUACAAAAAUAAUCCAUCAGAAAUUCAUCAAAAUUCUGUCACAAAUUAUGACAGAAGUGUUCCGUCUCAAAUAUUCCGUUACAAUUUUAUCAUUUUCUUGUAGCUAUUUGAUAAUCGAGUCUAGCUCCUCUCCAUUUUCACCAAACACUUGCUUGGAUUGAAAACACGUAAUAAAUUAAAAUUAAUGAUUGAAAUUUAAUUUGUUCAAAUAAAGUCUUAAUCGUGAUUAAAAUACUUAUUACUUCCACAAUUUGCUUCCAAAAUAUUUUUACAAUCACAUAAAAACAAAUUUAUCUAUUGCCAGAACUUUUUACCAAGCAAUAAAAUAUUUUUACUUCAUUCCUUUCUUUUUUUAAAUUCAUAUUUUAAGUGAGUUUUAUUUUUUCUACUUAGUAUUCGAAAGGUCAGUCACGGCGUCUAUAAAGAAAAAAUCCACCUUGAAUACGAUUUUCCUCUUAAAAUAACAAAUAUGUCAAGCCACAUUUUUCAAUAUUUUUUUUUUUUGUAAAAGUCUUUAAUUUUUGCCAUCAUUGAUUGGAGUUUACUCUAAUUGAUGGGUAACCCCAAAAAAAUGUCAAAAAAAUAAAAAAUCAAUGCACUACAAAUAUUUAUUCAAGACAAUAAAGAAAACUUUAUAUUUAGAAUAGAUAUAAUAUAAAUUUGAAAUUAUUAGUGUCAAUUCAAGCAAAAACUCCAGUUCAAGCAAGAACUAGGGGAAAAAGAAGAGCAGCCAAGUCCUUGAGAACCUUCUUACGUUUGGUUUUACUUGUAAUAUAUUAAUAAUUUUUUCUUUCUCUAUUACUCGUGCAGUAUAUUAAACAAUUUUUUCUUUUUUUUUUACUUUUCCAAUAUAUUAAACAAUUUUUUCCUUUGCUAUCUAUUUUAGCAAAUUAAGAUAGAAAUUACUUUGGCUUUUUAAGAAUCAAUUUCACCCUUAUGAUUUAAGUAACAAGUUUUCAUAAUUAUGAGAAUGACAAUAGUCAAUUUUAUACGCCCCAAAAAUAAUAAAUAAGAUUUAGUUAUUAAAAUAAUCUCUUAAUUAAUAUUCUGUUAGGAGAAAUGUAAAAUAUAAUCGGAACAAGUAAUUAAAAAGGGAACUGGAGUAUGCUACCUCCAUUUCUUUUUAUUUGCUUUAUUUUAUGCUGUGUUUAUAUUCCUAUAUAUUUUCUUCUUUAAUCGUUUAACAAUAGUUUGAACAAAAUCUUCUUAUUAUGUCCUUAUUCAAUAAAUAUAUCAUUAUUUAUUUGAAAUGAGGUAUAAAUUUAAUUAGGAUAUAUUGAUAAAAUUAUUUUUAAUUUUAUAGGAGUAAGUGAUUAAAAAGAGUGUGUUUAAUUCAAAUAGAGCAAACUAAAAGAAUUGGAGGGAGUAUAUUUCCUCUAAAUGUAUCUUUUAGCAGAUACUUUGGCAUGGGAAAACAUAAUGAAGGACGAAACUGAAUGUUGGAAAGACGAUGCUUCAUGGUUUUGACAACGUGAGUUCAAAAUACCAAAUUUUAAAUUCACGUGAAAGCAGAGGAAAAAAAUGUCAAAUUCAUCUGGUGAGUGACAAUGACUUAAAAGACAGUCCUAAGCUGGAUCUACCAAAUCACCACCUCCUUCUCUAAUAAUUGAAGCAAUAGAAUAUUAAAUAUAAUUAAUAAACUCGAAAUAUAGUACGUGUUCCAUGCCCGUGUCAACUUAAAAACUUAAAACAUAUAGAUUACUUCACUGCAUCCUAUUAGCUUCCUCUAUAUGAAAGCUAAGGCCCCCUAUAUAUACCACUCAUUGCAUCUCAUAAAUUAUACUACAAUUCUCUACCAACUCUCCUAUAAAUUAAAGCUCUUCUUUCAUCAAUAUUUGUCUCUUCUUCUAAUUAAGUUAACCAACAAUUUAAAACUCACAACCCCAAAAAAAGUCUUCACUUGUAAUAUAGAGAGUACUUAUAUAGGAAAAUGAAUCAAAAAUUGCCCGUUAUGGCAAAAAGAUUCUGGAAGGUAGUUCGGGUGGCUUACUUCAUGCUGAAAAAAGGGUUAUCUUCAAAGAGAAAACUAAUGUUUGAACUCAACUUAUUAGUGAAACGUGGCAAGAUUGCUGGCAAAACCGCCAUCCAAAAUCUCAUGUUCCACGACCAUAAUAAUAAUAAUACACAAGGCCAUCACUCAUCGUCCAAAGAGUUUUACGAGUUCAGCUGCAGUAACAGCCCAGCUUUUCACCUCCCAUUCCACCUCAACAAACGCAACAAUAAGCAUAGUUACCAUGCAGUACCUGCUAUUGAACACGAUGACGUUAUAAUGAUCAACGCUGCUGUUUUUAAGGCAUUGGAGAUGCUUCAGUGUGAAACAGCGUCACCUGCUUUGCCUGGAUUCGGGAGGACACCUACUGUGAGGCAAUUAAGGAUCACUGACUCUCCUUUCCCUUUAAGAGAUGGAGCAGAUGAGGGUGACAUGAUGAGCCACGUAGACGAGAAAGCUGAUGAAUUCAUUUCUCGAUUCUACAGAGAUUUGAGAAGAGAGGCCUCAUCUUUCGCUUAAUGUUUUGGAAUUUUUCAGAAUUAAAAGUCUUAGAGGAAGAUAGAAUAAGAAAAUAAUCUAGAGUUUUUAAACGUGAUUUCAUGCUAUAAUACAUUCAAGGCUGUACGUCCUGAAAUUUUGCACAACAAAAAUUCUCUCUUAGUUUGAUUGUUGUAUACCUUUUUUUUUCGUCUUGAAAAUAAGAAAAUUUAGGAGUUAAAUUAGAAAAUUUAGGAGUUAAAUUAGAAAUAAUACAAGUUGAAGUAAUUAAAGCAUAUUACAUUGAACAAGGUUAGCAAGUUAAAAUUUAUUCCUUCCUUAGAGACCAAGAGAAAAUGUGGUCUUAAUAGAAUUAAGUAGAUUCAUCAUUACCUGCCUAUCAAGCCCAGUACUUACUUGGAAUUUGGAUUGUUUUUUCAGUUCAUGCGACCUCUAUUGGGAAUUUUUUAUUUUUUUUGUCAAUAUUAAAGUUAACUUUCAAGUAAAAUCAAAAAGUUUUGGAUUUUUCAUUUAUACAUUUAAUUAACGUCCAGUGUGAGCUACAAUUAUCAGUCCAUACACAAGUGAUCAGGACUAUUACACUACCAUGUUAAAGAUCUGACUAUAAAAAUAGCAUCCACUGAAUAAUUUUGGUCUCUGUCUUUCAUAAUAGUGUAUUUGAAAGACCGGAAAAACGUCUUUUUUUUUUUUUUUUCUUUUUUGUGAAUUUUAGUUAUAGAAAUGUCAGAAUUGACUACUGAAGGCACAAGGAGUCUGCCAAUUUUCCUAAAGCAAAAUCGUCUUAUGUUUAUUAGUAGAAACAUGUUAUUUAGUCCUUCCCUUUCAACUUUAACUUUAUUAUUUGUUUUCAUGAGUAAUUUAUUGUAGUGGUUUAUAAAGCAAAUUGUUUGCUUUUUAAGUUUGUCAUCUACCUGAAAAUCUCCUAUGGCAGAAACAUUCAAGGCACAUAUUAUUUUGGGGUCAUUUGCACAAUUGCACCUUUGCCCUAUUUUAUGCUUGUUUUAAUUUAUGCCCCUCACAACAAAUGGAGUAUUUUUUUCUUCGAAAACAUAUUUAUAUUUUUUUAUCAUAUCUUCGAAAACAUUUUUUUCCUGUUAAAGAUCAAAUAUCUAAAUAACAAAAAUUAAAGAACACUCUAUUUGAAGUUAAAAUUUCAAGAUGUGUAUGCUUAAAACUAGAGUAACUUAAUACUCUAAAGCUGGUGUUAAAUGGACUUUGGACCUAUAAUUUAAGGAAUAGUUACUUAAAUCAAAUAUCUUUAUCCUAUUUACUUAUUCUUUCUUUACUUUAAAUUAAAUACAUAAUAUUCCAUAAUAACUUUAGAUACACGGAUACAUUGUAACCACGUGGAUACAUAUUAUAACACUCAAUGCAUGCAGAUACAUAUUGUACAUGGGAUACAUGUGGAUAAAUACAAUUUAUUUGAGACUAAACCAUGUAUCCAGACACCUUCAUCAUGUAUCUGGACGUCUUAAUAUGUAUUUAUAUUUAUUUGAAAGGAUUACUUAUUUAUAAUGAUCCGCGAUUAAUCACUUAUCAUGACUAUACAAUAUAUUCAUUUCACUUUUUAAUGAAUGUUAUGUAAUAUAAAAAACUUAUGGGAGGGGGGAAUAAUUGACUCGUAUAGUAAUGCAAUUUAUGUUGUUUAGCUCAAUGCGUCUAAUCAUUUGAGUAAUUAUUGCACUUAAUGGAGCCCAUAUAGUCAAUCAUUAAUUAAGGACAAUAUCUGGACGAAAUUGGAUAAACUCGAAAGAACAUAUCAAUCAAACUAUCAAUGAUUUGAAGAACGAAACAAUGUUAAUCAUUCGCCCCAUUUUUGCCGAUUGACAUGAAAAUAAGAGAGGUACGAUUAGAAUUACAUGGCCAUUAUUAAGCCACUUGGGUUUUUCUCCAAUGAGGGGGUAACUUGUCCAUGAUUAAUUUCUCACUUGUACGCUACUGAAAUUAAUUGACCCAAGGUAGCAGGUUUCCCCAAUAAUAGUACUUUUAUAAUUCUAGUUCUAGUAAUUAAAGUUUGUUUGAUUAGAUGUAGUUAAACACUACUAAUCACAAUAUAAAAUUCAACAGUACUUCCAUAUAGAAUCUCCAAAUCUGAAUUAUGUUAAUUAAUAUAAAAGCUGGAGACCUUUCAAUUUGAACUGAUCAUGUGAUUAUAUGUAACAUCUGGCAUAUUCAGCCUCAUCUUUCUUACACAAUUAUUGCUGAAUCACAUAAUGUAUUAGGAGACACAUAAUUAUAUCCACUAAUCCUAUUGCAUUUAAAGUUGUUGCAUUUUUCUGUUUUGUUUUAGUACUUAAUUACAUUACUGUAAUACCCGUGCCUUUUUCCUAGCUAGAAAUCAUCUCAAGGAUGUUAGGACUUACUUUAAAAUGCAAACCUAUCUUUGUACACGUGGUAUUUUUGAGAUUUUCACUUUCUAUCACGUGGAAAAUUGAGUUAGCUUUCCAACGGUACCAAUUUUGUCCACAUCCGACAUCAGACGAGGAAGUUAUGGACGUUUUACUUGGAACUGUCGGAAACGCCCAAGUAUGAUGGCCAAGUUGACGGACCGCCACAUAAGUGACGGACCGCCACUUUGACCGUCACAGCCAAGGUAGUUGAGCCACAUACUGGAUAAGGACUGACGAACGAGUUGACGGAUCGUCAAAGUUGUGACGGACCGUCAUCCAAGCCGUCAACUCUUAUCCAGUGAACCCCAUUUCUGGUCCACGUUUGACGGGAUAAGUGACGGACUGUCAAGUGUCUGACGGACCGUCAGUCGGACCGUCACACGCCACGUUCAGUUUAUUUUCAGGUCGUUUUAACAGGGGUAUUUUGGUCACUUAUCACUCGCCUACAUAUACCCAGAUAAGUCCGAAUUCAGCCAUUUUGCUCAUUAUUAUUUCACAAACAAAAACUAGGGUUUCUCUCUAAAUUUAAUCUCCAAGAACAAGACCCAAUCUUCUUCAAGAAUCAAAGGAUUUCAAAUCCUUCAAGUUCAAAAACAUCAAGAACCUUGUGUCAGGUAUGCGUAGUGUUCAUCUAUGGACCCCUUUUGUUCAUAGAGUUCAAGAACCAUGCUUUUAAAUGAGAAACUUUGAUUUCCUUGUUGUUAUGUGAUGUUGUUCAUGUUAAUGAUCAUUGUUUAAGCUUCAAGAUAUUAAUAUAAGUUGACUUCCAUGAUGUAUGCAUGCUUGUAGUUAAAACCCAUGAAUUUGGGUGGUUCAAGAUGAUUAAAAUUGUUGAGAAAACCUAUGCCCCAAAAUGUGCAUGCAAGGAUGCUAAAAAUCAUGUUCCCACGACCCCAUAAUAUUUAAAUGACAAGCUAUGUCAACUCUUAAGGUGAUUCCACAUGAACUUCCAUGCUAUUGAUAUGUGUUGCUAGUAUGAUUAUGCAAUAAACAUGAUAUUAAGGUUGUGCAAGUACUUCCAUGUGACAUGAAAUCCUUUCCUUGCAAUACAUUGUUGAUAACCAUGCUUAGUAUGAAAUCCCUUAUGUACGAUAUUAUGAAUUGUGGACUCAAAUCCUGUGAUCAAGUCAUGUCAUGUGUGUCAAUUUCCUUCCAUCGAGUCCUGGGGGUAUUCGUACCCGAAAAAUAUAGUUGUGUGCCUAGAGCCAAGUCACGUUACCCCGAUAAUCUCAGUCAAGCCAUGAUCUAUAGAACCUAGUCAGUCAUGUGACUCAGGAAACCUCCGAAAUCUCAUGAUCUCAGCAAAAUCUCAGAUAGUAGUGCUAUUCCGUCAGUCAACGGAAGUCAGUUACUCAUUCCUUAUACAGUCAGUUAAAUCAUGUUCAGUCUCUUCAGAUGGGAGUAGAAGUUAGCACCGAGUGAACCCAAGGUCGGAAACUUACUUGUCAGUUUAGGGUGUGAUUCUUAGCAGUCAUCCUUGUGUUUCAGAACUACGUAGCCAGCGUAGGUUGAGACAUCUUAAUCUGUCAGACUAGGGUUGAUGAGGUGGCUUAACCUGUUAGUUUAGGGUUCCCACCAUUCUCAUUUGAGUACCUGCCAGUUGAGGGUCGCUCACAACUGUCCUUACCAGUGGUGCGGUAUUGACACCCCUCCAGUCGGGGCAGAGAUUGGACCCCAACUUAGCUAUAUGCAUUAUUGGAGCAUGUCGGUUAAACAACUACCUCCCACGGUUUUAGGAUCAGUCUCAAUAAAAGAACCUAGAUAGUUCUUCAAAUAUCAGUAUACCAGGACUGCCAGAUACAGUCAAAUUCAAUUAUAGUACGGAACUCAGAUAGUUCCAUCAGACCUAGGACUGUCAGACACAGUCACCCAUGUUGACAGAACCAUAGUUUCAGUCAUGUCAGAAAUCAGUAAAUCAUGUAUUAGUGUACAGAUCCACUAUUACGUAUUUACGUUUCCAGUUAUUAUGUAUGUAUGUUUGCACUCUCACGUUCAUAUUAGUCGGUCAGUUAGCAUUGCUCAUGCAUGUAAACAUUUUUCAUUUAGCCUAUCUUACUCGUAUACUCAGUACUUCAGUUAUACUGACGCAUUUGCGCUAUGGUGCUUGCUUUUUAUGUUACACCAUAGGUUCAGAGACACGAGUUCCAGACCAGCAGUAGCAGUCGCAUUCCAGUAUACAGAGCUGCAGUGAGUCCUCUUCAUUCGAGGACGAUAUGAUUCGAUUAAUUUAUUAUUUCAGUUAGUUUUCAGUUUACGGAGUUAGUUGGAGACAUGUUCCUUCAACUCCUUAUUUAGUCAGUACUUCGAGGCUUUCAGAUACAGUUCAAAUUUAGUUCAGUUUUGAUUCAGACUUCAGUUAUCUUGGGUAUUUUUCACCCAUAAGGAUCUUAUAAUUAUUUCAGUUGAACCUUAUGGUCUAUUAUUUAUGUUUUCCGCAUAUUAAAUGUAUGUUAAGCAAUGUACAGAUACAGAUAUCAAUCAUGGGUUAGCUUGUGAUCCCUCGAGGUUAUAAGCACCGUAUAGCGUUCCGGUUCAAAAAAUCGAAGUGUUACAAUUACAAACUCCUUCCUCUAUUAUUGAAGGUGAAUGCUAUUUUUGGAAAGCUGUACCUUCAAGCCCAACCACCCCCUCUUUUGCUUUACCUUCUUUAGUCUCUCUCUUCCUUUUCCAACCAGACCUAACAAAUAAAAAAUAAAAAAAGAAUUAAAAAGAAAAUCUGUAAGGGUGUGUAUGGUAUUAAGAAAGCAGGAGUAAUAGAGUAGUGGUUAUUUAAUUUGGAGAGGUAGAAAUCGACAAAUUUAUUUUGAUAUAUGACAGUGACUUAAAGGACUGUCCUCACUAAAGUAUUGGAUCUUAAAAAAUCAAGACUCCCUCUAAUAAUUGAAGCAAUAGAAAAUUGAAUCAGAUCGUAAUAUACGUGGCAUGUGCCCAAACGUGUCAAUUUUAAAAAUCAAACAUGUAGAAUACUUCACAGCAUCCUCUUCCUCAAUAGGAAGUUAUCCCCCUAUAUAUGCCACUCAAUAUUUCGUUUCUUCUCAUAUGAUCACAAUUCUCUACCAACUCAAUCUCCUCUAAAGCUCUCUCUUUCAUCAAUAUUUAUCUCUCCUUUUUAAGUAAACCAACAAUUCAAAACUCUACCUAAAAAGGAAAAUGGAUCAGAAAUUGCCAGUUAUAGCAAAAAAAUUCUGGAAGAUAGUCCAUGUAGCUUACUUCAUGCUGAAAAAAGGAUUGUCGUCAAAGAGAAAACUAAUGUUUGAUCUCAACUUAUUAAUGAAACGUGGCAAAAUUGCUGGCAAAACCGCCAUCCAAAAUCUCAUGUUCCACGACCAUAAGAAUACACAAGGCCAUCACUCAUCGUCCAAAGACUACUACGAGUUCAGUUGCAGUAACAGGCCAGCUUUUCACCUCCCAUUUCACCUCAACAAACGCAAUAAUAAACAUAGUCACCAUGCAGUACCUGCCAUUGAACACGACGAUGUUAUAAUGAUCAACGCUGCUGUUUUUAAGGCAUUGGAGGUGCUUCAGAGUGAAACAGCGUCACCUGCUUUGCCUGGAUUUGGGAGGACAC